AAUUUAAUAUCUCAUUCAGUCUCUGAUUCAAUUUCUUAUAUUUUUGGUGAUUUUUCAAAAUCACAUAACUGCUACUAUCCGAAACAGUUUUAUUGCUAAUUCACUCUUACACACUUUCUUUGUAUUAACCUCAUUUUAACAUACAUAUCACAAAUCAUUUUCACCACAUUUCAUACAUCACAAGUAUAGGCCCAUGAUCACAAGGUCACCAUAAAAUCAUCCUCAUGUAUAACUUACUUGUUUAUAACCUUACCACAUCCUGGUCACUUAAUGAACACAUCAUUCACAUAACCAAGUUCAUGCACUUAUUCAUCACAAAACUCAUAAAGCAAUACAUAGAGAGUCUCCCGUUGAACACUUUGGAUCAAUCCUCGAUACUUGGUGGUUUCAGCAUAUAGCUCCACCCAUCAUAGAGUUCGGCUCUCUUGUACACAUGGUGAACAUUCAGUACCACCCAUGUUACCUAGCCAAUUUAUCUCGUAGCUCUCUUGUCUACAUGGUGUCCUUCACCUAGAGCCACGCAUGCGACCUAGCUACAUAUAUCCCGUAGCUCUCUUGUCUACAUGGUGUACACAUAGUAUCACCCAUGCGACCUAGCUACAUCAUAAUGUCUUAUAGCUCUCUUGUACACAUGAUGUGCACUCAGCACCAUACAUGUGACCUAGCUACAUACUAUCUGUAUCAUCCAAUCUUUCCGAAGGUUCAACCGGGAUUUCUCUCUCUUUUCCAACAAUUUCACCAAUCAAGUAAUUAUCCACAACAUAUUUCCAAUAUUAUUAUAAAAUAUCAUAAUACAAGUAAUAUUGAUGUAUUACUUACAUAUAAACUUACAUCUCAUUUAAUAUCAAGGCAAUAAAAUUAAAUUACACAUUGCCUUAUUAAAAAUCAUAUGAACUUACAAUUUCCCAUAAUAUCCAUAAUCAUAGAAAUCACAUUUAUGUAUGAUAAUUCAAUGCACUUCAUGUACCAUAGACAUAUUUUUAAAUCAAUUCAUAAAAUUGGCACCAUAAUCAUUUAAUUUAACAUAAUUCAAUUAAUUCACUAAAUUUAACUUUCAAAUAAAAAUUACAGCAUUAUUGUUGUAUUAUUAUCAUACCAACUUACAUACUUUCAACACCUCAGAAAUUAUAAUAAAUAUAUCAAUUUUACAUUGAAACAUGCAUAAAUUAAUGCUUAUUAUACAUAUGAACUUACCUCGAUACUAAAACGAUCAUUUUACCAACUUUCCCAAUUUUUGAUUUUUCUCUCAUUCUAGGUUCAAAUCUCAUUUUUCGGGAUCUAAAACAUCAUAUUUUACUUAUUUAAUUAAUGUACUAUUCAAAACAGUCCUUAACUCAAACUUUGGAAAAAUUACAAUUUUGCCCCUAAACUUUUACAUAUUUACACUUUUGCUCCUAAGCUCAGGAAUUAAACUUCAUCCAUUAUUCUUACGUUUUAUGACAUGCUGAUCACUUUUCCCUUCUAUGGCAACAUCAAAUUCUCACUCUAACAUAUACUUAUGACUAUUAGGUAUUUUUACCGAUUAAGCCAUUUUACUCGUUUUCACUCAAAACCGAGUAGCACAAGUUGUCUAACAUAAUUUAAAACCGCAUAUUCAAUCAUAAAAUAGCAAAAUAAACACAUUUCACAUAUGGGUAUUUUUCCAAAUAUGAACCCUAGCUUAAAUUAUUGCUAGAAUAAGCUUAAUCAAAUUACCGAGAUUCCAAAAACGUAAAGAACUUGAAAAACGGGGUUAGAACAGACUUACUAUUGAGCUUGGAAAGCUUGAAAACCCUAGCCAUGGUUUCCCCCAUGCUAAUUUCAGCCUCCAUGAAAAAGAUGAGUAAAUUUUGGCUUUAUUUUCCCUUUUUAUUUCUUUUAAUUACCAAAUGACCAAAAUGCCCUUCCUAACUAAACUUUCAAAAAUUCCAUCCAUGUCCAAUUUUUGUCCAUCACUUAUAAAUUGGUCAAAUUGCUAUUUAAGACUUCCUAAUUAAUAUUUCAAAGCAAUUUCAUACUAGAAACUUCUAGAAUGCAAGUUUUGCAACUUAUUCAAUUUAGUCCCUAACUUCAAAUUGAGCACUUUAUGCAUAGAAUUUCUUCACGAAAUUUUCACACAAUCAUGCAAUCAUAUCAUAGACCUCAAAAUAAUCAUAAAAUAAUUAUUUUUAUCUCAGAUUUUGUGGUCCCGAAACCUCUGUUCCAACUAGACCCAAUUUUGGGCUAUUACACAAUUUAUGCCCUUCAAUUUUUAAAAUUACACAUUUACGCUAACUUUUUCAAUUUUUACAAUUUAGUCCCUCACCAAUAAAUCCAUCAAAUGAGCUAAUUUUUCUCAAUUAACACUUUAUCUAUUUAUUUUAGGCUAUUUCAUGGCUUUUGACAUUCAGAAUUUCAACACCAAACCCUAACUCUAAACUUUUCACAUUUAGGUCUUAAAAUCAAUUUCUAUUGAAAUUACUUAAUAAAAUCAUCAUUUAAUAAAAUUAAAACUUUAAAUCUAUGCUAAUUCAUCAUAAACUUCCAGCACUUGUCCUUGGUAACUUUCACAAUCACUCAUGGAAUAAAAAACUAAUGAAUUAAAUAGUUGGACCUAAUUGUACUCAAACACAUAAAAAUUUCAAAGAAAAAGUAAGAAUUAGCUCACUUGUAGCAAAAAAUAUGAUAAACCAGCUUAGAAGGACUCUUCAAUGGCUGUUUUUGGCUGGAGAAUUAUGAAGAUUUGUCUAGAAUUUCAAUUUAGUCUCUUAUUUUAUUUUUACCUUAAUUUCCAAAUGACCAUUUUGCCCCUAAAUCAUAAAAUCUCAAAAAAAAUUUCUGCUUAUGACAUUUCAGCUAUCUUCUUUGGGGUAAUUUGCCCUUUAUGUCCAUUAUUUGUCACUUAAACUAUUUAAUCACUUUAGCAAAUUUUACACCUUUUUCAAUUUAGUCUUUUUUAAUUAAUUAACUAUUAAAACGUUAAAAUUUUCUAACGAAACUUUAAUACUAAUUCACUAACACUCCAUAAAUAUUUAUAAAAAUAUUUACGGCUCGGUUUAUGAAAUUGAGGUCUCGGUACCUCAUUUUCGACCCAAUUUACUAAUAAAUUCUUUUAAUUCACAAAAUUCACUAAUUUAAGUAUAUUUCUAAAAUCACAUUUCACUUAUAAAUAUUAAUUUAUUAAAUUUUAAAACUCACUCGUCAGAUUUAGUGAUCUCAAAUCACUGUUUCCGACACCACUGAAAAUUGGGCUGUUACAAUUCCACUGUUUUCGACACCACUGAAAAUUGGGUUGUUAUAAUUCCAUCUCUAUUAAGUCCAUAACUUUCGAAAAAUUCACAUUGAUAUUCUAAUUACGUAUUCUUCCUUCCCCAAGUCCAAAAAGCCAUGCACCAUUCCAAAUGUUUAUAGAGGCAACAUUCCUCACUUUCCAACCUAUCCCCUAUUCCAAAAGUUGUCGGGCAUUCCAUAUACUUCGCUAAGUGUACGAAGGGUAAGAUCCCAAAUAUGCACUUAAAAAUUCUCCUCUUAGGUAAUACUUGGCUUUCAUAAGAUGUGCUAGUAAACUGUUGGGUUUCAUAAUUAACUAUCAUCCUUGUUUAGCUAACAAGGUAAUGUUAAACUUGGAUAAGUCCCUAAACCCCACACCCCUAUGCGAUUUUGUUGUACACAUGGCUGACCAAUUGCACCAAUGUAUGCGCUUAUUUGUUGUUGAAAUUCACCACCAAAAUUUGUUAAAUAUAUUUUCUAAUUCACGGAAACAGGAAACUAGCAACAUAAAACACUACGUAGCAUAAAUCAGGAUAGCUUGUAAAACUGACUUAACCAACACCUCUUUUCCUCCUUUGAAAGGAAUCUCAUACUCUAAUUUUGUAACUUUCUUAUUAUUCUUUCUUUUAUUCCAAUAAAUGCGUAUUUUUUAUGUCACCCCACCAUUGUAAGCAACCCAAGAUAUUUCUCAAGGUUAUUUACUAUCCUUACCCAAAAAAUUCUCCCUACUUGCUCACUUUGUUCAAUACAUGUGCUACUACUGUAAUAAAUUAAAGAUUUUUCAAAAUUAACCAACUGACCUGGUACUUUUUCUUAAUUAGCCACCACCUUUUUCAUCGCUCUUGCUCCCUUCUUCGUUUCUUCACAAAACAAUAUACUAUCAUAAAUGAAAAAUAGAUGCGUUAUUGCCGGUCCAUUCCUGCCCACUUUAGCACCCUUGACCUGUCCUUCAUUCUUUUCCCUUAUAAUUAAUUUAGAGAAUCCUUCAGCGCGAAUAAUAAAAAGAUAAGGGUUUAGAGGAUCACCUUGUCUCAAUCCCCUACUAGGCCUAAAUUCUCUUCCUUGAAUCCCAUUAAGCACUAUUUUCUUAGCAUAUUUUCAAUCAAGCUCCAUUCCAUCCUAUCAUAGGCCUUACUCAUAUCGAGUUUUAAGGUGAAAGAACCAACCAAUCACCAAUCCCUCCUUUUUAAAUGAACGCAAAAUCUUGUAAGCCACUAAGAUGUUGUUGGUAAUUUGUCUACCUAGAAUGAAAGGACCUUGAUUCCCAUCGAUACAAAAGUCCAACACCCUCUGAAUUUAUUUACCAACACCUUAGAGAUUAUUUUGUAAAUCAUAUUGCAAAGGUUUAUUAAAUGAAACUAGCCUAUAUUGUUUGGUGAAUUAAUUUUGGAGAUUAACGUAAUGUUGCUACCAUUGAUAUCUUUUAAGUCCCUCAUUCCUUUUAGCGCAUCAAUGUAAUAUCAAGUAACGUCAUCUCCUAUUAUGUGGCAAUACUUUUGAUAGAAUAAGGCUAAAAAACCAUCAUUUCUUGAAGCUUUUAAUGGUGCCAUCGAUUUAACUACUUCAACAUCCUCUUCUUUUUAAAAAUCAGACAUUAACUCCUCAUUUAUCCUAUCCAAAAUACAGGGCUAGAUGCUUUCAAAAAUCCUUUCACAUUCACUUACAGUAUUUGACAUAAACAACUCUUGAAAGUAAUAGGAGGCAAUUUCAAUAAAUUCAUUAUCUCCUUCAACCCAUCUUCCAUUCCCGUCAUUUAAAUCACGAAUUAUAUUCCUUUUCUUUCGACCACAUGCAACCUUAUAAAAGAAAGACAUAUUCCGAUCCCCUAGCUUGAGCCAGUUCACCCUUGCUCUCUAUUCUUAGAAAAUCUCUUCUUUAUCUGCUUCCAAGUUUAGCGCUAGUUUUAUAUCGGUUAUUUAUGCUAAAACAUCAUCAUUAGCUUCCUUCUCCGAUAAUUCUUUUAGUUUAGAGUCCAUGCUUUGCUUUUUACCUUCUCUCACUAAUUUGAUCAUGCUAGCCCACCUACUUAUCUUUGAUCCAAGCAUUAUUAAUUUUUCUAGAACAUCUCCCUUACCUAACCCCAACUUUCUACUAUUGUUCAUCAAAGUUCUCCUCCAGUAUCUACUCCAAGUUGAAACAAAAGCAAAAUGGUCUUGCCAAUGUUCUACCUCUGAUUUUUCCAACCGAAUUUAGUAUAAUUGGGCAAUGAUCUGACAUGCUAUGUUGUAAAUGUUCAAAAGAGUAGCCUUGAAAAAUAUCCCACCACCUAGAAUUUGAAACUCCUUUAUCAAGUCUUUCCAUUAUAUUAUUACUAAGAAACCUCCCCCUUUACCAUGUAAACUAUUGUCUCGAAAACCCUAAAUCACUUAAGUCACAAUCCCUUAACACAUCUCGAGAAGUACUUAUUUGCCUCUAUUCUUGUAUACGCCCUUAUUUCUUUUCAAAAUAAAAUAUUACCUCAUUAAAAUCCCCUAUCACUACCCAUGGCAGGUUACACACUCUCUAACUGUCGUAAGAGGUUUCAAGAAUCCUUCAUUAAUCCCUCCACUAGUGCUUUAUAAAAUCAAGUAAACCUCCAAAAAAUUGUUUCAUUCUCUUCUUUAAUCAUCGCAUCUAUAUGAUAAUUAGAAAAACUUCAUAACAUUACAUCAAUCCCCUUCUUCUAAUCUAAAGAUAAGCCUCAUUUUGAUCUAUUUGCACCGACAUCAAUCCUAUACAUGAAACCACAACUUUUAAUUUUCUCUAUUUUUCUUGUGUCAACUUUUGUUUUGAUUAGAAACAAAACUUGGGGUCGAAAAUAUCUAAGAAAAUUUUUGAGAUAAUGAAUCGCCCACAAUUGCCCUAAUCCGUAUACAUUCCAGCUAAGAGUUUUCAUUGCAAUCGGCCGGUCUACUUUCUGGCAGCUGGCACUAUUUUAUUAUUCUCAUCCAAACUUACUGCUUCUACUUGAUUCAAGACUUCUUGCCCCUCACUUUGUGUUCUUUGCCUCUUUUUACCAUCCCUGUAAGUGAUGGGUUUGUUGUAACACUCCAAAUUUUAGGGUUAAAAGUUUUUAGGUUUUGUAGUUAGGGUCUGAGAGAAGGUUGUGCUUUUGUGUUUAGUUGUAUGUGUAAGUGUUAGAAUGGGCUGUAUAGCAGAUUAUCGUAUUGCACUGUAUUACACAUACGUCAGCUCGACUGCGUAUUAAUAUCUGAGUGGCUUAGUCUAUGUACAUGGUGUGGAGGGUUGGAUAGACCUUUCGAGGUCUUAAGUGGUGUGUUUUGGUUGGAUGAGCUUAAACAGCUCUUAUAGGGUGUGAUUGGUGGAUGGAGAGAUGUGGUGGGUUUUAUCACUUGACUGCAUUUCAUUCACAUCAGUCUAUGAGUUCUGACUGUAAGAUUGGUUGUUUGUAUUCUGUUUGCCUGAACAACGUUUGUGUUGAGUUUUUUGUGUGAACUUGGUGUGUUUUGAUUGUUAUGUUUGUUAGGACGUUAGUUGCAAGUAUGAUUUUCGACUCUAUGAGUAUUUGAAAAUCUUCUGUUGGGACGUUAGUUCCAAGUAUGCUUUCUGACUCUGUGAGUAUUUGAAAAUCUGUUGUGCUACUAUUAGAAUUCUAUAUUUUUGUCUCUUAUUUUAUUUCAAACUCACACUAAGCUCGAGUAGCUCACCCCCUCUUAGUGUUUCCCAUUUUAAGUGCUUUUCUAAAUUCUGACGCUAGACUCUAUAUGCAGAGAUCUCAGAUAGUCUCGGAGAAAAAUAUAAUAUCAGUUUGUAUUUUCAGAUUCUAUUUUGUUAUUCGGUUUUUAAACUAUAAGGUUUUAUAAAACUAUGGGAUAAGCACCAUUUCAAGUUCUUAUUCUUUCAUUUAACUUCGGUUUAUAUUAAACUUAACUGUAAAUUUAAUGACUAAAUUUAAACGAUUAAAUGUUUCGGUUUGGUGUGAUACUUAUUUUGUAAAAAUUUACCUACGAUCAAUUUGGUGAUCAAUGUAACAUCCAGAAUUCAGUCUAAACUUCUAGGCCAUGUUUAGGGUGUUACAUUUAGUGGUAUCAGAGUUAGGUUUGUAAAAACGCGGCAUGUGUUUUUACGUAAUCGUGUGCACACGUACUUGUUUAAAAAAAUUGAGAAACUUUACCACAGUAAGUUGGAAUGAUUUGUGUUUUGGAAAUGUUUUAUAGAAAUGAAAUGUUUGAGACUCCGAUGUUGGUCGAGGUAAAAAUUCAAAACUGUAAGAUUAGAAAUGUCGAAUUUUUUAUUUACUUUGUUUGGUGGUUGUUCUCUGAAAAUUUAGAUAUCCUAAGUUAGCCACAUGAUAGAUAUGGAUUUUGAAGGUAAGUAAGAUUGCGGGGAGUCAUCUGCCUCUCUAGGACGUGUGUCUGUUCAGGAGUUAGAAGUCAAUACGGUCCCGUCAGCUUCAAGUAGCGAUAGCCCGGAGGUUGGUACCGAAUUGUUGACUCAGGUGGUAGAGAGGUGUUAGAGGAAGUGUUUGAGGCUAGAUUAGAUAGGAUUAGUGAAACGCUUCAAGCUAGGUGUGUAGAUUGUAGGAAGAAAAGAGAUUGUAGUCCUCCGAGGUUGGAGCCUCAUUCUGCGAAGUGUGUUAGAACACAUUUGAGUGGUAAUAGCGAUUUUGCGAAGGGUGCUGGUAGUGGUGCGAGCAUUCUGUUUUGUCAGCACUGUAUGAAGUGUCAUCUGAGCAAGUGUUGGAAAAAGGCAAGAGCGUGUUUUCGAUGCAGGUCCACAGAGCAUCAGAUUCGAGAUUAUCCUUGAUGAUUUUGAGACAGGUAUGGUUUGAAUGUUUCGACGUUUAGAUUAGAAUAUUAAAAUUGUGUUUGAUAGGACCAUUGUGUAUCUACUUCAGUGGUUAAGUAUUCUAGGUAUGUGUGUGAGGUCUUAAGUUUGAUUUGGUUUUGCUCUGGCUAGAGUGCGUAGCGGGAGCGUGUUGGUGUAGCUUGUGUUAUACUAUUAUUUUGUUAGUUGGAAAUUUCAGGGACAAAAUUUCUUUAAGGAGGGGUGAAUUGUAACACCCCGAAUUUUAGGGUUAGAAGUUUUUGGGUUUUGUGGUUAGGGUCUGAGAGAAGUUGUGCUUUUGUUAUUAGUUGUGCACUUAAGUGUUAGAAUGGACUUGCUGGUCUGGUGGUGGAGUGAGCCUCUUGGUUCCAAGUUCGAUUCCUUGUGUGAAAUUUUUGGAGGAAUAUUUUUUUUUGUUUUGUUUGUUUUGUUUUAAUUUAAUAUAUACUUAUUUACUUAUUUAUUUUUGGUUUUUAUUUUUCUUUUUGGCUGAGACGUUCUUUUCUUCUUCCCUUUUGUUUUAUUUUAUUUUCUUUUUAUUUGGUCUUUGCUUUCUCUUUGAUUUUCCUUUCUUUCCCAUGGGAAACGGUUUUCAAUGCACAUAUAUUGAAGAAUUUCGCUCCUCCGUCGUCGAAUCAAGUGUGGAUUUCGUAUAUUCUUUUAAUUUUUCUUACAAACUUUAAUUCAAAUUUACGAAAAGUCGGCAACGUGUGGGUGUGAGUAUUUGCAAAACUGUUAUUUUCGAUGUUGUAAUGCUGACUUAUGCUUAAAAUUUGUAUAAUUUGGUAUAAUUUCGAACUGUUGAGGGCUGGGGUAUGCUUCGUGGCUAAAAGCACGUUUUUUAGGGAUGUUUUAGGGUGGUUUUGUGGCCACAUGGGAUUGUGCCGAUACACACGAAAAUUAGGGUUUCAGGGUUAAUUUGACCACCAUACAGCCUGGCCACACAGUCGCGUAUCCGAUUUGGGGAUUUUGUCGAGUUUCACACAGCUAUGUCCCUUGGCACAUGGGCUUGUGUGUUUAGGGAUUAGAGUUUGAGUGAUUUGGUGUCACACGAUCGUGUGGCUAAUUUAGGGAUUUAGAGAUCCCCUACGGGCGUGUGUUUUGGACACACGGCCAUGUCUGGUGGGCACAGGGAUGUGUGAUACCCUCAUACGACCGUGUCUGUCCUGUACUCUAUUUUAGUAUAAUUGAAUAGUGAGUUACAUGGCCUGUUCCCACAGCAAUGUUCUUGGUCCACCUGGGUUUGUGCCUCAGUCACACGACCGUGUGCCUCUCUUCACACAGGCGUGUGCCUCAGCCACACGGGCAUGUGCCCCUCUUCACACGGGUGUCUGACCACCCACACAGCCUAGGCAUUUCCACACGGCCAGAGCACACGGCCGUAUGGUCCUAAGUCACCAAAAUUUUAGUUUGUGUAUAUUUUGAUCAAAAAAUGUGUCAGUGGUUUUUGACCCUUGGCUAGGCUUAGGUAGGGGUAAUUAAGUUUCUGUAUUCGUGGCAAUGUGUUUCGCUUAAGUGUUGUUGCGACUGUUUAGUGAAAUGUUUGAUUCUGAAUUUGGACUAUUGGGCGUGUGUGCUUAUCUAUCUCUAUCUAAUUGUCAUUUGACUUUUUACUAUUUCUGUGAGAUUGAAUGCAUUCAUUCACUUGUAUAAAGUAUUUUAGGUGGGAUUGAGAAGAGAAGGGAGUCUAAUUCUAAUCUAAUCUGAUAGUUCUACUGUAAUUUACUUGUACAAUGAUUUAUUGUAUUGUCCUACAUGUGCGUCAGCUUUACUGCGUACCAUUAUCUGUUGUGGCAGUUAAGACUACAACUUGGCUAUACAACAGAUUACCACAUUGCACUGUACUGCACAUAGGCUAUCUCGGUUGCGUAUUAAUAUCUGAGUGGCUUAGUCUAUGUACAUGGUGUGUAGGGUUGAAUAGACCUUUCGAGGUCCUAAGUGGUGUGUUUUGGUUGGGUAAGCUUAAACAGAUCUUAUAGGGUGUGAUUGAGGGAUGGAGAGGUUUGUUGGCUGGAUGGGUGGAUUUUAUCACUUGACUGCAUUUCAUCUGCGUCAGCCUAUGAGUUUCGACUGUAAGAUUGGUUGUCUGUAUUCUGUCUGUCUGAACAACGUUUGUGUUGAGUUUUCUGUGUGAACUUGGUGUGCUUUGAUUGUUAUGAUCUGUUGGGAUGUUAGUUCCAAGUAUGCUUCUGACUCUGUGAGUAUUCGAAAAUCUAUUGCGCUAUUGAUUGGAAUUCUGUAUUUCUGUCUCUUGUUUUGUUUUGAACUCACACUGAGAGUAACGCCCUGAAUUUUGGGCCCAGUAGAAAUGGGCUUCACGUAUCGGAGGAAUUGGAAUUUAGUCGUGCAAGUGAAUGACACAAGUGUGUAUCUGCUUCAGUGGUUAAGUGUUCUGAGUGUUCUGGGAGUGUUUAAGAAGUCUUAGGUUCAAGCCUUGGCUUUUGCAAAAUUUUGGUUUUUAAGGGAUGAACCAUGGCUCUGGCAUGUAGGCUUUAUAAAUAAUUGUGGAUGAUUUAGGACACAGAAAGAGCUUGUGGUGGAGUGGCAAGGUGGCCUGUUAUGUAAUUAUAAGGUCUGAGGUUCAAGUCAUGGCAAUGAAGAUGAGUAUUUAUUUUGCUCUCUUGCCAUGUGAGAAGUAAAGGUUAAUUGAAACUCUGUUGAGGAAAGUUUGAAUUAGUCAAUGAGUGGUUUAUGGAGAAAAUCUUGGAGAAGAUAAAGAGGAGUUUUAGGAGGAUCGGUGCUGCGAGGGACUCGAAGAUGGCCACACGACCGCAGUUUUUUUUAUGCUUAACUUUAUUUAUAUUUAUAAUUUCACUUUGGGUUUUGAUUCUGUAAUAAAGCCUCUUAAACUUAAGUUAUUAUAUUUGGGCUUUAUUUAUUUGAUACUUAACUGAUAAUGAUAGAACGCUAGUUUUCAAAAAGAUUAACUAUUUUCAAAACACCGCGUUUUUGCAACAUUUUUGGAUAUUGCUUCCACAUCAAACAAUGUUUUAAAUUAAAGACGUUUUAAAUGGUUAAUAAAUGGUUAAGAUGUUUUUUUUAGUUUCUGACAAAGAGAUUCCAACUCAGAAACGAAUUUCUACCAACAAGACCAAUUUUUGAAAGACACUUCAACAUGACACGUUAGAUUCGGCCAUAACCUCUAGGCCAAGUUUGGGGUGUUACAUUUAGUGGUAUCAAUGGGCCUUAGUUUUUAGAUUUUAAAGUUAUUUACAAAUGAUUCUGAAGCAUUUUGAAAUAUUUUGAUUGAGUGGUUCACCGAGUCUCCGGCGCCGAAGCCGUAUGUUUCUGAAACUGUUGUUUGUUUUCAUUAAAAAGCAGUAGAUAAAAAUACUGAGAUUUCUUUAGAUAAUAGACUGUAUUGCUACACUUGAAAUUAGAGUUUGUAUUUAUUCUGUUUGUGUUCUGGAAAUGGUAUGCAUGUGAUAUCUAUCCGCUCUGAUGGAUAGAUGGUUUGGUGUGUGCUUGUAUUAUUAAGAUCAGAGCGCGUAGCGUGGUAGGCUAGGAUGUGCGACUGUUCUGAUAGUUGGAAAUUUCUAGGACAAAAUUUCUUUAAGGGGGUAAAGUUGUAAAGCCAAGAAUUUUGGGCGUAGAAGAAAUGGGCUUCACGUAUCGGAGGAAUUGGAAUUUAUUUGUGCAAUUGAAUGACACAAGUGUGUAUCUGCUUCAGUGGUUAAGUGUUCUGAGUGUUCUGGGAGUGUUUGAGAAGUCUUAGGUUCAAGCCUUGGCUUUUGUAGAAUUUUGGUUUUUAAGGGAUGAACCAUGGCUCUUCCAUGUAGGCUUUAUAAAUAAUUGUGGAUGAUUUAUGACACAAAAAGAGCCUGUGGUGGAGUGGCAAGGUGGCGUAUUGUGUAACUGUGAGGUCUGAGGUUCAAGUCAUGGCAAUGAAGAUGAGUAUUUAUUUUGCUCUCUUGCCAUGUGAGAAGCAGAGGUUGAUUGAAACUCUGUUGAGGGAAGUUUGAAUUGGUCAAGGAGUGGUUUAUGGAGAAAAUCUUGGAGGAGAUAAGGGAGGAGUUAUUGGAGGAGGUUGUGGAGAAAAUCAAGGGAUUUGGAAUGAGGGGUAAAAGCUAGUGCCGUUUGUGAUCACUAAUUUGGCUUUGAAGAAGUAGUUUCCCAUUUUUCGAGAUUAUGAGCAUUUCGGGAGUUCUCUGUUGCACUUCUUAGCCGAUUCUUGCUAGGUGUCUUUCGCGUUUUCUGUAUAUUUUUUUAUUUUUAUUUUUUGGAGUAGCCAAAUUGUUACCAUUCGGGUAUUUUGUUUGUGUUGGCUUGUCACCUUUUCUUCCCUUUCUUAAGAGUUUCCUCGUGGACAAAAUACCCUCUUUUCUCCUCCUCAAUCCCUUCCCAUUUUUGAAUGGUCUUUCUCUGCUCUCUUCUCCUUCUCUCAACCUAGCCGAAUACAUAUUUCUUUACUCCUUCUCUAUUUCCUUUUUGGUUUUCUUCUUCUAGUCAACUUUCUAUUCUUUAUUUUCUCUAUUUCCUUUCGACUUUUAGUUCUUAAUCCUUGUGACCGAUUUCUGGAUUCUUCUCCCCCUUUUUUUUCUAUUUGUGGUUUGGUAGUGGUUCUUUAACAAUUGGUGAGUUACAUGAUUACUGCUUGUUUUCUCUAUUCUUGCAAUAUGUUUAAGUCUAUUUCUUUUUACACUUUUCUAAAGCCGGCUGUCCUUUUCUCAUUGUUUUCUCUUAUAGUCGAACCUCUAUCUCCAUUCUGUUCUCAAUUUGUCAAGUAAUCUCUGUUAAUCGAACUCACGAUGAGCAAAGGGGGUUCUAGCAAUAAAGUAAUGACAGUGGUGCUGACUGGGAGUGGACGCGUAGCCUCUGCCCCCAAGUUUAAGUGGCGUAGGGUAUCAGUGGUUCAGGACUUUCCGCCAGGUUGCGAAAGGGUAACUGCACCAAACUUUGGAUUAGGUAGGCAAAUUACAGUCGACCGAUCUACUCAAGGCAAGUGGUAGUCAAUCUUUCGGUUAAGUGGUUGUUAAGAGUUUUUCUAACACUAUUUGAUUAGUGAUUAACUAAAUGUUAUGUUUGAAUAUAGGUUUUGGCGAUCGUGAAUUCUUAAUACUCUAUGUGAUCAGGUGUGUAACCUUAUGCUGUGUUUGAUGAUCAGUAGAAAAGCCGAAAGUGUGUGUAUUUGUGUGCGGUUUUCGAUAAUCGUUCAAAAGCUGAAAGUAUGUGUUAUUUACACUGCAAUGACUGUAGAUCGGUAAAAUGCCGAAAAGUCAAAAAUAUGGUGUAUGAUGCCACACGAGCGUGCGAUCGCACAUGUGGUGAACCAAGCCCAUGAACAUGGGCAAUAGGCUGUAGCGGCCACCACGAGCACUCUCGUGGUCUUGGGCUGUUCUGGGCCUCGUGGGCUAAGUGGGCCGUGCGGGCCCAAUGGGCUCGUAGGCCCUCACGAAUAAAAUGUAUGUGAUGUGGUAAGUGUUGUUUGGACUGUGAUGUUCGCAUAGCUGUGGCUGUUUUUGGGCUAAAUGGGCCACACGAGUGUGUGGGCCCACUUGGGCCGAGUAAUAAGCCUUAGGCCCACUUUCACUGUUAUGUCUGUUUAGGUUACUUAAGUCGCUUGAAGUGAUGGUGGACCUUCUAUUGGGUCGUUAAGACCCUGGUUUGUAAAAUUACCAAAAUACCCUUGGAUUGUAAAAUUAUCAAAAUACCCCCGAUUUGUAAAAUCGAAAUACCCUCUGAUUGUAAAAUUACCAAAAUACCCUCGGAUUGUAAAAUUAUUGAAAUACCCAUAAUUUGUAAAAUUAUCGAAAUACCCCUAGUUGUAAAAUUACUAAAAUACCCUUGGUUUGUAAAAUUAUUAGAAUACCCUCAAAUUGUAAAAUUAUUGAAAUACCCCCAAUUUAUAAAAUUACAAAAAUACCCUCAGUUUGUAAAAUUACCAAAAUACCUUCUGAUUGUAAAAUUAUUAAAAUACCCUUUGAUUGUAAAAUUACCGAAAUACCCCCAGUUUAUAAAAUUACCAAAAGACUCCCAGUUUGUUAAAUUAUCGAAAUACCUUCGGAUUGUAAAAUUACUAAAAUACCCCCAGUUUGUAAAAUUACCGAAAUAGCCUCAGAUUGUAAAAUUACCGAAAUACCCUUAGUUUGUAAAAUUAUUAUUUUGCCCUUGUGGGUAAAUGACCGACUUAGACUAUGAAUUUGACUGAUAUGACGGUGAUUGUAUGACUGUGUUUUAACUGACUUGACUAUGAUUGUAAAACUAAUAUGUUUUUAAUAUAUGCUUAAAAGGCUGUUACUGAGGAUGACCAUUCUGCAUACACAUGUAAUGAUUGAGCAUGACAUACACGACAUAUUGCAUGGUGUUGGGACAUUAAUAUGGAGGAAGAACUGUUCUGAUAGGGUCGCACGGGUCGUACAAGACCACUGUGGAUCCAGUAUUGAUCUAUUAAGGUCGUACGGGUCGCACAAGAAGACUGUAGACUGAUGGAUGGCUUAGUGUCGCUUAAUCUGAUUAUGGCUCUGUGCCAACCUAAAAAUGGCUCUGUGCCAUCUUGACUAUGGCUUGGUGCCAAAUGUAUUUACUGUGACUAUGUGCCAAACAUACUUAUUGAUGACUUUGUGUCGAUCAUAUUUACCCAAGGCUGUGUGCCGAUUAUAUUAGUGUCGCUGAUGGCUAUGUGCCAAACAUAAUACAGUUACCAAUGGCUUUGUGCCAAUUAUAAUACCGCUACUGAAGGCUUAGAGCUGUAUAUAUACUAUCAACUUUGCUGCGAUUUUAGUUAGUGCCGCAACCGGUGCUAAUUCUGGAGUGUAGGGAUAGGUGGGUUGAUUUUAUCCCUACGUAAGUGUAAGGUUGGUACGGGUGGUGUGUUGUCUGGAUCGAGGUGGGAUGCAUCCUCAUGCUGUUGCAUAUAUGUUUAUGAGAUCUAUCAAUGUAUUGGGCUUAGGCCACUUGUUCUAGUAUUGGUUUGGGCUAGGCCCAAUUGAUUCUAUUAUAGGUGUGACCCAAAUGAUAUUGUAAUGGGCUUUGGCCCACAUAUGCUUUGAACUGGAUUGUACUGUUACUAUUAAAGGGCUCUGGCUCAGACUGUUUCUAUUUUUGUUUUGGUAUACUGACUAUUACUCUAGUAAGGGGAUUACACACUGAGUUUUCAUAAACUCACCCUGUUUACUAAUUGUGCAAGUAAUCCCCAGCAUCAGGAGGAUCGGUGCUGCGAGAGACUCAGAUAUGGCCACACGACCGCAGUUUUUUUUAUGCUUAACUUUAUUUAUAUUUAUAAUUUUGCUUUGGGUUUUGAUUCUAUAAUAAAACCUCUUAAACUUAAGUUAUUUUAUUUGGGCUUUAUUUAUUUGAUACUUAAUUGAUAGUGAUAGAAUGCUGGUUUUCGAAAAGAUUAAUUGUUUUUAAAACAUCGCGUUUUCGUAACAUUUUUGGAUAUUGCUUCCGCAUCAAACAAUGUUUUAAAGUAAAGACGUUUUAAAUGGUUAAUAAAUGGUUAAGAUUUUUUUUUUGAGUUUCUGAAAAAGAGAUUCCAACUCUGAAACAAAUUUCUAUCAACAAGACCAAUUUUUGAAAGACACUUCAACAUGACACGCUAGAUUCGGCAAUAAUGUCUAGGCCGGGUUUGGGGUGUUACACUGAGCUUGAGUAGCUCACCCCUCUUAGUGUUUCCCCUUUUAGGUACCUUUCUGAAUUCUGACGCUGGGCUCGAUAUGUGGAGGUCUCGGACAGUCUCGGAGAAAAAUAUAGUAUUAGUUUGUAUUUUUAGAUUCUAUUUUUUUUAUUCAAUUUUUGGACUAUAAGGUUUUAUAAAACUGUGGUAUAAGUACCAUUUCAAAUUCUUAUUCGUUCAUUUAACUCCGAUUUAUGUUAAACUUAACUGUAAAUUUAUUGACUAAACUUAAACGAUUAAAUAUUUCGGUUUGGCAUGAUAACUUGUUUUAUAAAAAUUUACCUACAAUCACUUCGGUGAUCAAUGUAACAUUCGAAAUUCGGUUUAAACUUCUAGGCCGGGUUUAGGGUGUUACAUCUAUCCUGAAAUUCCUGCAGCACCUCUUUACCUUUGAAUGAACAUCUUUCAUCAAUAAGCACAUUAAAAUAACUAGCCCUAGAAUGUACUGUACCCAUACCAUAUUGUGCUUGAUAUCCCCCGUAUUCUUCCUCUAUUGACUCCAUUAGAUUUUGUCGAAUGGUUGUGUUUCGCUGUUCCUUCAUUACUUUCUCUUCCCAUCCUCACUCCUAUUCUAAUUUCUUCUCUCAGAUCAUCUUCUCGCAACAAUGGAUUAGUAGUUUGCAUCAUUAUUCUUGGUGGCACCCUUAAGGAGACAUCCCACCCAAAUUCCACCACCUAAUCUCCUAACAUUAAAUGAAUAGGGCAAAAACCCUCUCCAUGACCUAGCCUCCCACAUAAAAAAUAAAACAUUGUAAUCUUCUCAUAUUGAAAUUGGGCAGAUAUUGAAUUUUUUUGGUGAACAAACUGACUUAUAAAGUUUCCAAAUUGCUGUGCCAUCCCCUCCAACAAAAACCCUAAAGGCAUAUUAUGAAUUUGAACCCAAAACAAGGCAUAAAACAGCAAGACCUGCAUUGGAUCCUCCCCCUUUUCCAUAUUGUGGAAAAUUAUAAGAAUCCUAUUGAAGACCAUAGCAUCCCAUCCAUCACCCGCUUCAAAUCAAUCAUAUAAUAGAAUCAAACAACACACUUUUUUCACCUAUAUCCGUUAUCGAAGUUCCCCCUAAAGGAUGCUAUAGGUUCGCUAACAUGCUCCUCAGUAAUGGAAAGUGCACAACACUUUUCGUUAAUACUCGUCCCACUAAGUAUAAGUUGUAGUCUUCAUCAAGCCCUACUUCCUCUUCGACAAUUCUGAUUGGUAUGUCUUCGAUUUCAUCAAUAUUGAGAUUAGCUAACUUUUCCUCCAUCUAGCAUUCACUGAUUAUGCUACAGGUUUUCUCAACAGAAUCAAUCGCUGCCAAUAAGAUCUCAAGAGAAAGAAGAAAACAAAACAAUUGUGUAAGAAAUUGCAAACUAAGAUAAAUGUGAUACGAUAGCAGACUUAUUUAAAAAUAAUUUAAUUUUGAUUCCCUUAAAGAAAUCUUUGACUUUGUAUUUGUUAAUACCUUAAAUUUAAUUAGAAUAAUGUAUUUUAUAAAAAUAAUCAUUAACUCCGAUCAAAUUAAGUAGGCGCAAAUUUAUAUAAUAUAUAUAUAUAUAAAUCAUUCACUCCACCUCCUGAAAGAACUUCAAAACCAUCAAGGCAGAAACCUUUCCCUCAGCCCUGUUACAAAAAGAUCAAUAAAUGGGUUAAGAAAAACCCAGAUUCCCUUACUUCUAAAAAUCCAAUCUCUACUGUUUGUAUGAUGCAACCUACUACGUCAUAUGACAAGGAAUUCCCUCCACUUGAAAAGUAUUCAGAAAAAAAUUACACUCAUGCACAAAAAAUCCCUUCAAAAAUUCAGACAAUAUUUCUGAUGCACCCUCAAAAAUAAGUGUUGCAGAAGCUACCUUAAAUUGGCAAGCGGAAAACACUAUUGCUCAAAAUCAUGUUUUAGAGAAGAUUGAUACAAAGAUCUCAACUGUUGAAGCAAAAAUAGAUGACAACACCAAGAUGGUCAGAGAUCUUAUCCAGCUUUUGCAAAAAAGAUUAGAUGCAGUAGCAAGAGAGCCGGCAGCACCAGGACAAGAUUUCUUUUCUCACCUAGCUCAAAGAGAAAAAGAAAUCCAGAAGCAAAAAGACCAAAUCAAGACUCUUCAAGAUAUAGGAAAGAUUCCUGAGCCACCUCAAAAAAUAGAAACAAUUGAAUUCAAUUGAUUCCACCUCAGAGAACAGAGGGAGUAAGAAUCACCUUUCCAGAAUUUCCAAAAUGUACUAAACCAAGUACGUAUGAGAUCUUCUUGGAAAUUAAGAAGUAAGAAGCUGAGAAGAAAAAGAAAAAGAUUGCUGAAGAAACAAAAAUACCCAGUGAAAAUGAAGCUUACCAAGCUGAAAAGAAACUUGGAAAGAGGCCAAUUAUAGAAGAAUCACCACCAAAAUUGCCCUCUCCAAAACAAGUUUCAAAGUCUCUGAUGAUCCGGGAAGAACAUCAAAAUCCUUUAACAACUUUUUUAAAGGAUUACACGAAGUCCACAAUCCCAAGAAUUUCAACCUUGCAAGAUCAAGGAGAACAAAAGUCAGAUGAUACUGAAUCUGAUUUAUGGGAAAAGACAAGCACCCCAGAAGUGUCAGAAUCUUCAUCAGAAAAAACAGAAACAGAAGAUGAAAAUCUUCUGAAAGCCUUCCAAACAACCAAAGUGGAAGAACCAAGCGAUGAUGAGAAAUGCAAGAUAUACUAGAAUCAUCUUCUGCACCUCAGAGACAGAUGCCAAAGACUUCUAUAGGCAGAACCACUAUCACUCUUGAUGAUUUACCACUAAAGAAAUGGCUAGACAGGAUUCAAGAAUUCCAUUCCUGGUUAGAAACUUGCAAAUUAUCUGAAGAUAGCAAUUACAACAUUCUCAUGGAAUUUGUUUCCAGAUUUACAGGAAUGUUAAGUGAUUGGUUGAAUGCUAUCACCCAACAUGAUCAAAUGCAGUUUCUAGUCCUUCAAGACUUGACCCAACCAAUCCGAAUCAUACAUCAGUAUUUUGUAAGAAACCCUGAAGAUUUGUUAACUCUGAAAAGAAGGGAAUUCUACAAAAGAAAAUGUUGUUCAUACAGAAAAAGGGAUUUAGCAAAGCACUUUAAAAUAAUGACUAAGUUAUUUUGUGCUUUAGGCUUAAAUCCAAAUCACAAGCCAGUCAUCCUCUCAUCUCUUCCAGAUCCAAUUCAAGUUGCAGUCAAUCAAACUCUUCAAAAACAGAAUAAAGAUAUUCUCCAAAUUACAGUUGGAGAACUUCAACAAGAAGUCUUUAUUACUUUAGAAGAUAUCUGUAAUAGAAGAAAGAUAUUCAAAGAUUAUCUCCAUGGUGACAAGAAGAUUGACAAAGCUUGUGAUGAUUCUUAUUUGGAGUACAAAUGUGUAAAAGAACAGUUAUGUGAUUGUCGCACAAAAAAGAAGAAGCAUUUCAAGAAACAUUCUUUUCCAAAAAAAAUUUCCAGAAGAAAGAAAAGAGUUAGGCCCCAAUGGAGAUGUCUCAAGAAAAAAAGAAAGUCGACAAAAUUCGAUCGUUGCUACAUCUAUAAUCAGAAGGGACAUUUUUCAAAAAAUUGUCCAAAAAACAAGCAAGCUAAGAAGAUUGCACAAAUGAUGAAGCAAUCAGGGAUUAAAAUCUGAGAAGAAGAUGGUAUUGAGUCUAUUUGCUCUAUUGAAGCUGAACCAUCAGACAAAACAAUAUGUGCUAUUCCUACUUGUCUUAGUGAAUCUUCGGAUCCAGAAUCAGAUUAUUCAGAUAUACAGAUGAUGCAAGCUAAAGUUCAAAAUCUUUCUAAUACAAUUCCAGUUCCUCAUGUACCGGUCAAGAUCUAUUUAGACAAAUAUAGUAAACCUAUUACUAUAAUUGCUUUAUAGAUACUGGAGCAGCUGAAACCAUCAUGAACCCAGAUGUUUUACCUCUAGAAUGGUGGAAGCCUCAUGUAAGGUACUUUAAUUCUGCUACUGAUCACCCUUUCGCUACCCAUUUGAUUAGUAAACUCAUUACUGUUCAGUUCUUCCCAGGCUGUUGUGUAAAAACUACAGUCAUUGGUUCAAAAAUCCCAAGAAAAGAUAUUGUAGUAGGUUUUGACCUCUACACAAAAGUCCAACAAUUGAGAAUACUCCCAGAUGGAGUAAGAUUCAAAAAUCUUUUCCAACCUUUUGUGAAAAUCCCAAAACUUUUUUCUAUCCAGGCAGAAAAAAUCCUUCACAUCAUUCAGGAAUUGAAGGCCCAAUCUUGUGCAGAUUCUCACUUAGAAUUUCUAAAAAAAUGCCCAAAUCCUUUGUGGAAAAACUUAGAUUUCUUCAUUCAUCUUUCUUUCAAGAAAAAUGAAGACAUCAAUCCAACAAAGGCCAAUCACCAAGGAAUGAAUCCAGAUCAUCUAUUGCUGGCAGAACAAGAAUGUCAAGAACUCCAACAGUAAGAUCUAAUUGAGCCAUCAGACUCUCAAUGGGCAUGUAAAGCCUUUUAUGUUAAUAAAAGAUCUAAGCAAAUCAGAAGAAAAUUAAGAUUGGUGAUAAAUUAUCAACCACUUAAUUACUUCCUCCAAGAUGACAAGUUCCCCUUGCCAAACAAAGAUUUACUCUUUUUAAGCCUGGCAAAAGCUAAAGUUUUCUCUAAAUUUGAUCUUAAAGCUGGAUUUUGGAAAUUAGGAAUACACCCUGAUGACAGACCAAAAACAGGAUUCUGCAUUCCUAGCAGACACUUUCAAUGGAAAGUUAUGUCAUUUGGAUUAAAGACAUCACCUUCUCUCUUUCAGAAAGCAAUGAUAAAGGUUUUUCAUCCUUUGAUGAAAAAUGUUUUGGUUUACAUUGAUGACAUCUUGCUUUACAGCCAAGAUGAAGAAUAUCAUGCUUAACUUCUUGAGAAUUUCAAAUCCCUUAUUUGUAAACGCGGGAUAAUGCUUUCAGAAAGAAAGAUGCAGAUCAAAAAAAUAGAAAUCAAAUUUUUAGGGAUGGACAUCAAAGAUGGAAGCUACUCUCCAGGUCCUCAUAUUGCCUAAGAACUCCUGAAGUUCCUAUCCAAAAACCUGUCUUUUAAAUAGGUACAAUAAUUUUUAGGGAUAGUUAAUUAUCUUAGAAAUUUUAUUCCUAAAGUUUCUAAGUAUAUUAAUCCCCUAACAAAAAUGCUCAAGAUAAAUCCUCCAUUAUGGUCUUCUUCUCAAACGAAAGCAGUCCAAAGGUUGAAGGAAUUAACCCAAGACUUGCCUCCAUUCCAAAUUCCUUCUGAUGGAAAAAGAAUUCUACAAACUGAUACCAGUGAUAAAUAUUGGAGAGCAAUCCUACUUGAAGAAAACAAUGGAAAAAGAUGCCUCUACGGAUGCAAAAGUAGAAGAUUCACAGAUGUAGAAAUCAAUUAUCAUUCCACUUUCAAAGAGAUUCUUGCCGUCAAAAGAGGUAUUGAAAAAUUCAAGUUUCAUCUUCAAGGAUACUAUUUUAUUGUUGAAAUGGACAUGUCAUCCUUUCCACAAAUGCUUAAGUUCAAGCAGAAGAUAGUUCCUCACCCUCAACUCCUCAGAUGGGCUGAAUGGUUUUCUCAAUUUAAGUUUGAUGCCAGAUACAUAAAAGGAAAGCAAAAUGUUCUUGCCGAUCUGCUUUCCAGACCCAAACCAAAAAUUCUUGCAAACAAAAGAAUUUUCCAGCCCAGACCCAUUAUGAUAUGCGGACCAUCUUCCUCAUCCUCCACUUUUCCUACUGCUUAUCCUGUUGCUCCAAACCUCAAUCUAGAGUUUCCUCCUGAAGUGAUGAGGUUGAUUGAACAAGGAACUUUUCAUUCAAAGACAAAAGACAUGAUGUUUGAAUACCAGAUCUAAGUCUUUAAAAAUUUUGGUGGACUCAUCUUAUGACCAUGGGGUGUACAUCCUGAAUAUCCUUUCAUCCACCCUAUCAAGUUUGAAUUUGUUGAACAACCAGAUGAGGUAAAAUGGUUCUUAUGGUAUCUCACUCAUCUCUACCAUAUAGCCAUUCAGUUUCUCAUUCCUGAUCUCCGUUAUUUUCUGGUAAAAGCCAUUAGAGGAAAUGUUGAACCACACCACCAAAAUUUUUUCACUUUUUUAUGUUGGUUCUAUCCUCUAACUCAAUGGUUAAAUAUGAUUGAUCAGUAUUACCAAGAAAAUAAAGGAAAUUAUAUGGUCAUCAUCUUCUACAAGCCUCAGUAUUUUGUUACACGAGGAAGAGUAAUCCAAUUAGGUUCUUUCCCUACCGCCUGGAUUCACAAAGUUCUUGAUGAAGAUUUCAGAAACCAUGAUGUGUAAUACAGGAUCAUACAGAAGUUCCUUUGCCAACUCAAGAAGGUUAUCCCAUUUGAAGUGUGGCCACCUCCAGAAAUUGAUGCUCCUUGGGACACAUGGCCUAUAAGAUAUAAGUCUUAUCACAAAGGAAUCUUAAAAACCAUACAAAAAUAUUAUGAAAGUAUACCGAAUCCCUCAGAAUGGUCCCAAGAAUACCCGUGGUAUUGCAGUCAAAUCAAUCUAUUAAAAUUGCACCAAGAACAAGAAGUUGAUGGGAACAAAGACAUAAAUAAAGAUAUGGAUGAAGAUAGCGGUGCUUUUAAGGAGCCAGACAUGACAACAAAUAGUGAUUACUCCAUGGAUAGUGCUCAGUACCCCCACUCAAGUAGAAACAGCUGAAAGAUGUCACUCAUAAUUCAGCCGCUUUAUGUCUAUAGUACUGUUAUCCUUCAAUAAUGUUUGUUGUACUGUUUACUUUAUGUCAUAACAACUACUAUUUUUUACUAUUUACUAUUUUGUUGUAUUAUCCCUCCUUUGGAUAUAAAAGGAGAAGAAAUCAGUGUGUAAGAUCAUCGAGCCUUCUAUCAAUAAAAUAUCAGUGUGUUUUAGUAUCUAUGGCUUUCUAAACUCUCAUUUUUCUCUAAGUCUUCUUCUUCUCAGAAAAUUUUAGAUGAGUUCACAAAGAGUUACAAUAGAGUAUGCUCUGUGCUUACCAUACAAUCAAUUCUGCACACCAGAAAUAUUGAAAUUCUGAUCAGUGAUAGUAAUAUCGCUGAAGACAUCAUAUGUCUCCUGAAUUAAGGGUUUGAAGCUAAAAGGCAGUGUCUGUCUAUAUGACCCAUGAGGAGAGGUUUGAAAUUAAACAAGUUCUUCUUUCUUGCAGUCCCUGUGACUAUCCUCCCUGUUUGGCAGGUCCUCAUAUUGCCCAAGAACUCCUGACUCGAGACACAUUAUUUCGGCUGAUAAGGGCAGAAUAAGGUGAAAUGUAAUGAUUUGACCCAUACAAGCUAUAUUUUUUCAUUAAAUUGGAAAAACCAAACUACUUAGAGAUUCAAUUUUUUGAGAUUUUCUUUCAAUCACUCAAACAUUAAAUUUCUAGUAAUAGUUGAUUAUACAUAUCGCAUUGUGUUUAUAUUUUUAUUUUGGUCAUCCAACUUCUAAGUUGUUUUCAUUUUGAUCAUUCAAAAAGAUAUAUUUUUUAAAUAUUGACUAGAGUAAAAACCCAUUAAAAGUUAAAAUAAAAAAGUAGUAGAAACUAAAAUAAUGCAUUAAAAAUUAGUGAAACUCUACUUGUUUACCCCAUUGCCAAAAUUUCUAAACUUAUUUUUCUUCCAAUAUUAAAAUUUUAACUUCCCAAACAUUAAAAUUAAUUAAAUAGAUUGUUAAAAAAAUUAUUACCUCUUAAUAGUGUCAGGUGAUUGUUAAUGUAAUAUUGCAAUUAAUUAAAUUAAUCUCUUUCUAAAAUUUAAAUUUUAUUUUAUGUUUCUAAAAUAAAAUCAACUCAAAUAACUCAUAUUUAAUAAUUAUUUACGAAAUCUAAAUUUCUUUUUAUUAUAUAAUAAUUAAAAAUAAAUAAAAAAUAUUUACAAUUAAUUAAUUUUUCUCUCAUACCAAACAAAAUUUAUAUUUUUUCAUCCCUUCUUUACUUUAAUUGCACGAAUUCUUGUUUAGUUUUAGCUUAAUAAAGAAAACUCAACAUUAUAUAUAUUUGGUUCAAAUGAAAUUAAAAAACCCCCCUAAAAUAUAACUUCCCCAAAGCCACCAGCAUUAGCUUGUAGCAAAUCAAUUGAGCAUAGCCAUAAUCCAUUUCGUGCACCAAUUUAGCAAGCAAAUCAGCACAUUUAUUUUCCUCACGAAAGAUGUGCCUAACCUGUAUAACCCAGCCUUCUUCAAUCAAAUUCAAGUAGUCUCUAUUUAGUUGACAUGUGUCCGUUCCUAAAUAGAUUUGGAAUUAUAUAAUUAAAAUUUUUUAAUUUUUUUAGAAAAUUGUUAAAUAUUAGUUAUUUGAGUUUAUUUUGAGGUAAAUUAUUAAAAUAGUUAUUUUUGUUUAGCUCAGGUUAUGUUUUAGUCACUUAUGUUUGAAAUGUUAUAUUUUAGUCAUUUACGUUAUCGUGGUAUAACAUUUUAGUCAUUGAGCCAUUAAUUGUCAUUAACGGUGUAACAGUAAGUAGACGUAACACGUUAAAUCAUCAUUUUAAAUAAAAAUUUUAGGUUAAUUUAUACAAUCAAUCCACAUAUUUUUUCGUUUUGAGCAAUUUAAUUUUUAUAUUUUAUGUUCUUUUAAUUUUUUAUUUUUUAUUUUUCAUUCUCUCCUGCUUCUCCCACAGUUUUUCUCCAUUCUCCAUUUUUUUUAACGUAGUUUUUUUAUGUUUUCUAUUUGUUAAAACUAGUCUCUAUACUUUUAUUUUUUAAACAGUUUAAUUUUUUUUGAGUGAGGUGAGCUUAUGGACUAGUUUUAACAAAUAUAGAACAUAGAAACACUACAUUAAAAGAAUUGAAUAAGAGGAGAAAAUAGAGGGAGAAUCAGAAGAAAAUGAAAAAUAAAGAAAAACAAAGUAAAGUUAAAAGAACAUAAAAAAAAUAAAUUGCUUAAAAUGAAAAAAAUAUAGAGAUCAAUUGUAAAAUUUAACCUAAAGUUUCCAUUUAAAAUGAUGGCUUAACGUGCCACGUCAGCUUACUGUUACACUGUUAACGACAAUUAACGGUUGAGCGACUAAAAUAUUACAAUGUGAUAACGUAAGUGACUAAAACGUAAUAUUUCAAAUAUAAGUUAUUAAUAUGUAACUUGAGGUAACUAAAAGUGACUAUUUUAGUAGUUUACCAUUUAUUUUAUUAAGGAUGAUUUAGAAACAUGAAAUAAAAUUAUUGAAAUUUAGAAGAAGAUUAAAUUAAUUAAUUUUGAUAUUAUAGAAACAAAUUGGUUGAUAUUAUCAAGGGAUAAAAAAAGUUUCAAUAAUUUAUUUUCUUGAUUUUGAUGUUUUGAAAUUUAAAAUUUCAAGAUUGAAAAAAAAUAAAAUUUUGACAAUAGGAUAAACAAGGAAAUUUUGACAAAUUUUUUAUACAUUAAUUUAGUUUCAUCGUUUUUCAUUUUAAUUCUUAAUUAUUUUUUACCUAGAUCAAGACUUAAGGAAUACUUUUUUUGAUGAUUAAAAUAAAAACGACCUUAAAAUUGAGUGAUUAAAAUAAAAAUAAAAAUAUGAUGUGGACAUAAUUUGAUGUGUACAAUCAACUACUAUUAAUGAUUUAAUACGUAAAUGAAUAAAAUAAAAAUAUCCUAAAAAUUAGAUGACAAAAUUACAAAAAUUAUUUUUAGAUGAUUAAAAUGAUAAUGAUAAGCAGAGUAGUUAUCCAAUUUAUUUCCAGAGCAUACUAAUUGACUGGAAAGAUUUGUUUGUUUUUAAGAGCAUUUUAAUUGGAAUGCAACCAAUAGAAAAUAUAUAAAACAAUUGACAAAUGAAUGAGAAAUGUUGAUUCUGCCACCGUCAAAUUUAUUUAUCAUUUGUACGCCUAUAUUGAAAUUUAUAAUGGAAAAUGGCCAUCUGAUUAAGAAUUCCAUUAGAAAUUAAAAAACAUGUUAUCUAUCACGAGUUCAAAAGAGAAACAGAUAAAAAUAAAAGUUCAUACCUUUUUUUUUAUGAAUGUGGAAUAUGGUGUAGUGGAUGAAAUUGUUAUCCUAAUUAUUGGAUAUUUUUCUGCAAUCAACUAGCUUCCUACUUCUCCGUACGAUUUAAACAUUCUUAAAGAAAAAAAGAAAAAAACCUCGCAAAUAGAAAUCUCCCCACUCAUUACGAAACCAUUCUAUGUGUAGCCACACUCGUUGCUUUUUGCCUGCUUUCACUUUACAAUUAAUUGAUCUUCUUAUAAGAUGCGGAGAUGUUGAUUUGCUCCGCGGAGGUUAUUCAACAUAUUCAGAUUAACUUUUUAAAUUUAAAUUUGGUUCAAUUUGAAAAGUAGUUUUAUUUUUUUUUAUUUAAGUCUCGUCUAAUUUAAGAAAGAUAAAUUUGAAUUCGAUUCGUUUUGUUCAUAUUUAAUUAUUUUAAAUUAGUUUUUAUUUAAAAAUAAAAUUUUAAAAAAUAUAAUACACUAAAUGCACUAAAAAAUUAAAAUAAAACUUUUGUAACACAUUAAAAAGUAUUUAUAUUGAAGAACACUACCAUAAAUAUGUAUAACUACCCAUAAUCCCUCCCUAACCCAUAAAUAAGAGGAUAAUGUAUUUUAACGCGCUCGAAUCCACAUCCUCCUACAUUGACAACAAUGUCUAUACCAAUCAAGCUAAAACUCAAUUAACAUAUAAUAAAUGUUCUAUUAUAUUAAAAACAAAAAUAAAUAUAAUAAAUAUUUUAUUGUAUUAAAUAUAAUUUUUAUAAUUUUAUAUUUUGGGUUGGGUUAUUUAGUUGAAUAAGUUUUUUUUUUUAGGUUUUGGGUAACGGGUUUAAUUCUUAUUGGGUUAGCGAUUUAAUAUAAAUAUAUAUAACAAUUAUUUAACAUAUAUAAUUAAUAUAAUAUUUUUAUAACAUAACAUAUUCAGGCUGGGUCGGGCUCGGGCAAAAAAAUCUUGCCCAAGAUUCGGCCCUUAUAAAAAACGGGCAUUAUAUUUUACCCAAGCCCAUUUUUUGGGCCUUGUGUUUUGUCCAAACCCUUGAUAAGUGUUGAAAGUAGCAUGUUUUAAUCUCAUUUUUAAUGUAUUUUUUGGGCGAUUAUUCAAUGUUAAUGAUGAAUUUUAUACUCCUAAUCCUUUAAAUUCAUAUAUUUAUACUUAGGAGAGCAAUUUGGAGCAAAAGGAGUGAAAAACGAGCUAAAAUAGAAAAAUUGGAGUAAGGUACAUGAGCCACAUGGGCUGCCACGCGGUCAUGUGGUAGGCUAUGUUGAUUUCGUGAAUUGCACUUUGGACAAUGGAAAAACGCGAUUUUUAGGGAUUUUCGGACAUUCUGAGACCUAUAUAUGACAAAAAUAAGACGAUAGGAGUGAAUCAUCAUAAAAUACUCAAGAAAACAACUCAAAAAACACCACUGAAGCCGAUUCUGAAGUAGAUUUCCAUCAGGAUUGAAGAUUCCCUUUUGAUUUCUUUGUAGAUUAUUAUGACUUUCUUUCUUUCUUGUGGUUAUACCGUAUUUUGAAUGUUUUUAUUUGCUAGCAUGAACUAAUUUUCUAAAUAUAUAGGGAGAUGAACCCUAUGAUGGAUAUUGCUGUUUGAUUUUUAUUUUAUGCAAUAAAGACUUAAAUCUUGUUCUCAAUUAUGUGUGCUUAAUUCUUGGUUUAAUAUUUCUAGAGUAUUGAUUCAUGUUUGACGUGCUUAAACUAGAGAAGGAAUAGAACCUGUUUAAGAGUAGAUCUAGCGUAAUUGAGUGGAGUUGCAUGCAAUCCUAAAAAUAGGACUACAUAAAUUUAUCGAAUUAGAGUUAAAUCUAAUAGGGGAAUCCAUAAAUAGAGUUAAUGUGAUAAUAGAGGUUUUAAUUAGAAAGAAAUUUCAAUUAAUCAACUGCUAGUCAAUUUUUCUUAUUCUUGAAGAGAGAAAUUAGCAUAAUUUAGUGAUUUUUACAGAUUAAGUGUAACACCCCUAACCCGUAUCCAUCGCCGGACUAGGGUUAAGCGGCAUUACCAAACAUAUCGAAACACUUUGCAUUCAUUUCACAAACAUAAUAGCAUCAUAGUCAAACAUCAACAUAAAGUCCCUUUCUUAGGUCAAUGAGACCAUAAACAUGCAUUGGUAAGAGGUCGGGACUAAACUGAAUACAUUCAUAGGUUUCAUCACUUAGAAAAUUUUUUUUCCAUUCUAUUGAGGUCACACGCCCAUGUAACUAGGCCAUGCCAAAACAGAGUUUACAUACUGACUUUUCCCCAUGGCCAACAGACAUGCCCGUGUGGUUCUUAGCUAGCUACUGACUUAAGUCCACGGUGUGCUAUGGCCGUGUGGCACAAUCCAGGCUUGGUUUAAGCCAACUUGCCACCCCAUUAUGGGUCAACCUACAAACAAAGAAUAAAGCAUAUAUGUACAACUCAAUUAACCAUUUUCUCAUGCUAAAACACAUAUCAUUUAUACUAUAAUAUUAUCAACCAUUUACAUACUUAUAAACCUUUCCUAUUUAUAAUGAACAUAAUGUAAGAUUAUAUCAAAUCAUCAUACAAUCUCAUUCCAAAAAUUCACCACACUUACCAUUUUCUUUAUCCAACUAAACAUACUACAAUUUCAAAUUAACAUCACAUAUCAUAAGCCUUUCUCAACCAUAAGUUCAAACACAAAUUAGCCAAAUCACAUGGCUAAAUAUAUACAUUACAAAACAUACUCCAUAACUACUAGCCUAUACAUGCCAUGCUUUAACUAUAUAUAUACAUUUUCAAAAUUACCAAAAUGAGGUUCGAUAGUGUGGCAACAAUCCUUGAUGAAUCCCCAAGCUUGAUAGCUUCGAUAUCUACAAAACAAUUCAAACACACAUACAAAGUAAGCUUUCAAAAGCUUAGUAAGCUCGUACUCAAAUCAUCAAUAGUACAUGAACAUAGAAUAACAACAUAUGGGUAUUUGCACAAUUUCCAUCCAUAAAACCAUAUCAACUCAAUGAAAUUCACAUACAUAAUAUCAUUUACCACUUAGGUAUUAUACAUACCUGAAUCUUUCUGUACUUAUUCACCUUCGUAAUUACCUCUUGUUGAAUGUUCUAAGACUUUCCAUAAGUUGUUCGUAAUUUAAACAUCCACACACUUAGUGCUAUAAUGUUAGCCGAAGCUAAAUAUUUCCGCACACUUAGUGCUAUCUCAUAUAACUGAGACUAAGUCAGAAUAGCACACUUAGUGCCUCAAGUAGCCGAAGCUAGUUUAAAUCGCACACUUAGUGCCAAAGCUAGUUUAAAUCGCACACCUACUGCCAAAACUUUCGAUUCAUCAUCAUAUUAUCCAAUUCAAUUAUAUACAACUCAUGUAUAAUAAAGGCAUCAAAGCUUACUUAACAUUAUAUUUUAAGUACGAACUUACCUCGUACUUGAAGGUGUUGACUCUAACGUUUAUUCUAUAAUCUUCGAUUUUCCUCGAUUUAAAUCUGAACUCCUCUUUUCUUGAUCUAUAAGUAUUCAAAAUUAAUCCUUUUAUUCACCAAAUAAUUCAAUUCAAUCCAUAAACACAUGUUUAGGGCAAUUUGCAAACUAGCCCUCAUAUUUUCACAUUUCGACACUUUAGUUCCUAUUUCACAAAAUCACAAAAUAUACAUAAUUUGCAUAUACACAAGCUUAGCCCAAUUCUCCUAGUACUCAUACUAGUUCACACAUUUCAUUUAUUUCACAUUUUAGCCCCUCAAAAUAACAUUUUUACAAGUUAGCCCAAUUUACUCAAUUUCAUCAAAAAUUCAAAGAUACCUUCCCUAAUUCACCAUUUAACAACACAAAACUCAUGAAUUCAUCCAUGGCAUAUUUCAAAAUCAUCACCAAAAUUAGAAAUUGAAGCAUGGGCUUUGUAGUAUACUAAACAACGAUCACAAAAACGUAGAAAUUAUCAAAAACUGAACAAAACUCAUACCUCAAUCAAGGAAUACAAUGGCCGAACCCUAGGUGUUCUUCUUCUUUUAUUUUCUUUGCUAUUUUCGGCUAUGAAACAUGAAUAAUGGCUUUAUUUUAUGCAUUGUUUUAUUUAACUAAUACUUAUUAAACAAAUACCCAUUUUACCCUUUAUUUAAACAUAUAAAAAUCAUUUGAAAUAAGGCCAUAUAUGUCCAUUAGCUAAGUAAAUGGCAUAAUAACCACAUAAGGACCUUUCAAUUAUAAAUCCAAGUCAAAUAAGCACUUUUAACAUCUAGCACAUAGCUUUUACCUUUUACAUGAUUAGGUCCUUUUUGCAAAUUAAGCACACAAACAGUUAAAUUUUCACACGAGAUUUUCACACAUGUCAAUUCACUUAUAAUAGGAACGAAAAACAAUAUUAAAAUAUUUUUCCAACUCGGACAUGUGGUCCCGAAACCACUAUUUCGACUAGGGUCAAAACUGGACUGUUAAGAAAUUGUGUAAUUUAGAUUGAUAAUGAAAGAUGAAAUCUAGGUGAAUUCUUUCUUGGGUAUUGUUUCACUUCUUGGUUGUUUACUCGAAUAUUUCCUGAUUUGUUCUUUGUUGCAUUCGUAGCUAAUUAAUUUAGUUAAUUUUAUUUUUUAAUCCAUCACUUGAAUUUUUCAGUUAAAUAAUAGAAAGACAAUAAUUACUAGUACUUUUAGUCUUCAUGGGAACGAUAUCUUUUCUCACUGUAGUUAUACUAUUAAUUGGUAGGUGAACUUGCCUUAAUCAGAUAUUUAGUUGGUUUACGCAACAUUAAGUUUUUGGCGCCAUUGCCAGAUACUAAAAUAUUAGGAAAACUUUAUUUCUAUUAAUUUAGCCAUUUUUAUUUUUAUUUUAAUAUUUUUGUUUUCAAUUUAAUUUUUAUAUUGUAAAAUUUUUUUGUUUUUUUGAUUCUAACAGGUUCUUUUUGGUUUAUGACUAGAGGCAACCUGUUGGAACUAUUAAUUUUUUACAGUGAGAUUGAAAGAACUACUCGCAAAAAUCAGAGAGAAGUUAGAGAAGCAAGACAAUAUCAGUAGAUUUUAAUAGACGAUCAAGAGAAAAAAAGACAUUACUAUGGAGAUGGAUGAUAAUCAAAAUAAUCACCAGUCUCUUGCACAUCCUGCUCUUCGAACUAUGUAUGAUUAUGCUAAGCCUACUUUGAUUGGGGUUGAAUAGAGUAUCGUCGGACUAAAUAUUGCUACAACAAUUUUAAGCUGAAGCCGAACAUAAUUUAGAUGGUACAAAAAUAUGUCCAGUUUGAUGGGUUACAAGAUGAAGAUCUGAAUGCUCAUUUGGCAAACUUUCAAAAGAUUUUUGGUACAUUCAAGAUUAAUGGUGUUUCUAAUGAUGCCAUAUGCUUAUGGUUAUUCCCAUUCUCUUUUUUGGAGCAAGGUAAAACAGUGGUUGGAUUCACUUCCACAAGGUUCUAUCACGAUUUGUGAUCAAAUGAUUGAGAACUUUCUGUUAAGUAUUUCUCACCGGCUAAAACAACUAAGUUGAGGAAAGACAUCUCUUCUUUUUCUCAAAUUGAGUUGGAGACAUUAUAUGAUGUAUGGGAGAAAUUUAAAGAUGUUUUGAGAAGGUGCCCUCAUCAUGGGUUACCUUUGUGGUUACAAGUUCAAAACUUUUACAACGGUUUAAAUCCCUCAACUAGGCAACUAAUUGAUACAAAAAUUGGUGGAACAUUGAAUAAUAAGACACCUGAGUUAGUUUAAGAAUUUAUUGAGGAGAUGACACUGAAUAACUAUCAAUGGCAAGUCAUGAGAAUGAAACCGAUUAAAGCCGCCAAUAUUUUUAAUAUUGAUGUAGUUUCUAUGUUAGCAAAUUAGGUUGAAGCUCUUGGUAAGAAAAUUGAUGGUUUGAAUAUUUUUAAGCAGGUGAAUCCAGUAAUGCAAUGUGAUGUGAAUUGAACGGUGAUAAUCAAUCCAAAAUGUUUACCCUUCACUUCUAACAUGGAGCAUGAGCAAGUAAACUUUAUGUGUAACAAUUUUAGACCUCAAAAUAACCCCUAUAGCAAUAACUAUAAUCCAGGAUGGAGGAAUCAUACAAAUUUCUCUGGAUUUCGGCAACCUUAUCAGUAAGAAAAAAAAUCGAACCUUGAGGAGAUGUUAACUAAAUUUAUUUCAGUGUCCGAAACUCAAUUUCAGAACACUGAGACUAUAACAGCCCGUUUUCAAUGGUGUUGAAAAUAGUGGUUUCAAAACCAUAAAUCCGAUGAGUAAAUCCGUAAUAAUUAGUAUUUAAAUUAUAUGAGUUAAUUGUAAUUUAAUAUUGAAUUUUUAAUUUGAAUAAAUUUAGCUAAUUGAAUAAAUAGUUAGGUAUAAGUGGUUUGUUCCAAAAGUCAAGUGGUUUUGAAAAAUGAGGUAUCGAGACCUCAUUUCUAAAUAUCGAGCUGUGAAUUUAAAUAUUUACGGAGAUUAUUUAGGUAUGUAAAGGUUUGGUCUGAAAAUUUUAUUGUUUAAUUAGUUAGUUAAAGAAAAAGGACUAAUUUGUAAAAGACGUAAAAAUUAAUCGCUAUUGAAUUAUAAUGAUGAAAUGGCUUAAUUAACACAAGAGGAAGGAUUUAGAUGGUAAAUACACCAUUUUUAAAUAAUAGGAUGGUAGGUAAGUAAAAUUUAUACAUUUAUAUAUUAAAUUUUAAUGUUAAAUUAAUAAUAAAGUAAACAAAACAUAAAAAAAAUUAAAAUGUCAUCUUCCCAAACCAUUUCUUCCAUUUAAUUUGAAACAAGGAAACUCCAUUGUUGAAGCUUGGAGGUUCGACCAUUGUUGUAUCUUGCAUAUAUGUCCAUUUUGAGUUUGUUUCUUAUCAUUUUUAUGUUUUUGAGAUCGUUACAACUAGGUCCAACUAAACUGUUACAGAUUUUGGAUUUUGCCAUUAAUGAAUCUCGGUUAUUCUUUAUGUUAAAUGAUGAAUUUGUAGUCUUCAUUGUUGUUUAAGACUAUUUGUAAGGUGAUUUUAGUUAGUUUCUAGUCUAAUUUGAUAAAAUGUUAAAAUUGAUAUGAAUUUUUUAUGAAUUUUGAAUAAAUAAUGACUGUCCUAGUAUCAGAAUAAAUUCAGCUAGCAUGGGUAUUUGAGGAAUUUUGUUAAAUUUGGAGUCUUGGGUUUAGGAACUAAAUUGUGAGAAAUGUAAAAGUUUAACAAAAAUGUGUAAAUAAUGAAAACAUAAGGUUCAUAUGCAUAAAAGUGAGUUGGCAUGUGUAUUUGAAUUUGAUAAGAUUGAAUUUAAUUAGGAUAGAUCAAAAUUUGAAUUGUACGGAGGAUAACCAAGGAAAAGAAAAAAUUACAGAAUAAUCCUUACAAGUCUAUCGUUGGUAUUUGUUAGGUAAGUCCAUAGUGUAAGUAAAUGUAUAUGAAUAUUUCUUUAUAUUUGUAUUAAUUUCUGUUGGAUAAUUGUAUUUAAUGAGAAAUUUCAUUGUUUUCUAUAAACUAUUAAAUGUUGUGAUUGAGUACAAAUGGUAAAUGAAUAUUUGGAAGUGAUGAAUUUUGUGGUUGUACAAAAUUGAAAUGAAUAUAAAGGACUUAUGGUAUGUGCAUGAAAAUAUUAAGUGCCUCUAAAUGAUUGAUUUAUCAAUAUUGUGAAUUUAAUUAUAAUGCCCAGAUGAACUUAGUAAACAACUAGGAUAGGAUUGGUAUACCAACAGGGUUAGUAAGCGCCUCUGUUUACACUUCGGUGCCUUUGUAUUUGCACUACAAUGCCUCUAUUAGCAUUUCGAUGCUCUCUGGUGUGUUUUGGAGGAAACCCGACUAUCCAAGUCAAUUUGCUAUAGUUUAACGGGCCAUGAAACUUUACGUCAAAAUGUAAAAUUAACUUUGUGACCUAAAUUUAUGUAUAAUGAUUCAAUUGUGUAUAUAUAUGUUUACGUAUGAAAGCAUGAAUUGUAACACCCCUAACUCGUCUUCGUCGCUGGAUUAGGGUUACAGAGCAUUAUCGUUCAAAUAGAAAAAAUUAACAUUAUAAUACAAAAUAAAUCAAAUUUAUUGUAAACCAUUCAUUCAUAUGCAUUUUUUCCCCAAAUCGAGCCUUCGAGGCCCUAAAAAUAGCUUAUAAGCAAUAUAGGACUAAAUUAAAACAAAACAUAGAUGUAAAAAUUGGAAAACAUGGGUCACAUGACCGUGUGGUCAGGCCGUGUAACUUUUGAACAAAGGGACACAUGGCCGUGUCCCAACGCGUGUGCUCACCCAUGUAACUCACAGAGUAGGGUCACACGGCCAUGUCACAAACAAUGUGCCAGGCCGUGUGACUCUUUCAGUUACAACAUACGCCUGUGUGCCAGGCCAUGUAACUAAUAGACUUUAAACAUUAGAAUUUUACAAAUGACACACGAUUGUGUUGCCAGAUCGUGUGUGUCACACGACUGUGUGACAGCCUGUGUCCCAGGCCAUGUGAACCCAAAAUUUACCUAAAAAUCAAGCCAUUUCAAGUCCAAAUCAUACUUAACCAUUCAAACCAUUUGGGCACACAUUCAAGGGGUUCAAACAUCAUUCAAACAUACAUAAACUAUAACACCCCUUACCUAUAUCCGACACCGGGAUAGGGUACGAGGCAUUACCGGACUUAAACAUAACCAAUCAUACAAAACCGGGCCAUAAAAUUUCAUUCAAUUUAAAACCAUUCAUACACAUGCAUAUCGUCCCUUAUACGGGCCCACGAGGCCCAAAACAUGCAUUAGAAGUGGUUCGGGACUAAACCGAAAACUUUGCAAAACUCAAAAAAUUUUUCAUCAAAGUAAGGGUUACACGCCCAUGUGGCUUGCGACACGCUCGUGUUGGUAGGCCGUGUGGUCACACAUGCUCGCAUCCUCAGCCCAUGUAGUUCUCUGUUUAUGAAGUCAUACACAAUUUGGGGUCACAUGGCCAAGUCACACACCCGUGUCCUUCACACGGCUGAGACACACGGCCGUGUCUCUGUUCGUGUGGCCAAGAAAAUGGCUAUUUACCAAGCCAUUUGCCACUUUCAUUUGCACACUCACAUACAAACUUUCAAUGGAACUUAACAUGACACAAUUAAGCUACCAACACAACCAUAAUCAAGGCUUAAACAUAUCAAAACAAUUAUUUACUUUUCAUAACAAAACUAUCCACUUGAGUCAUAGUCACUAAAUUAUUUAUAUCUUGAGCUACAGAAUUCUAAAUUAAAGUGCGCUUGAUUUUUUCGAAACUAGACUCAAAUAUCUUCCUUCCGUAAAAUUUUUAGAAUUUAUGGUUUAGCCAAUAAGUACAGUUAAUUCUUCAAAUUCAUCCCUAUUCUGUUGUUUGACAGUUUCAACCUUCCUUCACUAAAAAUGAAUUAUCUCUUAGUAUGAGAUUCAGAUGAUGUUCCCAUUUGUUUCUCUUGAACAUAGACUCAUUAGGAAUUUAAACGUAUAAAUUUUAACCCCUAAGUAUUUUUAUACAAUUUUUAAUGAUUUUCCAAAUUUAGAAUACGGGAACCCGAAAUCAUUUUGACAUUGUCUCACAAAAAUUCAAAUAUCUCAUAAAAUGAAAUUCUUUUGCUUACACCGUUUCUUCUAUGUAAACUAGACUCAAUAGGAUUUAAUUUCAUAUUUUAUUUAACCUCUAAUUUGAUUUCCAGAAUUUUUGUGAUUUUUGAAAGUUAUACUACUACUGCUGUCCAAAACUGUUUUAAUGCUAAUUUUACUCUUUCAUGAUUUCUUUGUAUUAACUUUCAUUUAGACAACAAAACACCAAAGCAUAUCCAUAACUAGCCAUUCCAAUAGCUAGUCAUUAUCGAAUAUUUACAUGCCAUUCAUUGGCCAAUUUAACCUAUACAUCAACAAUAAAGACUUAAACAUAUCAUUUCCUUACCUUCAUAUACAUGCUCAUAACAUCAUACUUUAUCAAGUCCAUACAUACCCAAUCAACUUCAACAUAACAACUUCCCACAUGUAUCAUCUAGUUUAAUUUCAUUAACAUACCAUUAUAGACCACAUCACACAAUGACAUUGGCAUAGGCAUAUGAGUAAUUAAUAUGCUUGGAACUCAUUAGCCAAUAUAAACCAAUUUAUGUGGCUACAUACCAAAUCAAAUCCUUAAUCAUUACAAGCCAAUACAUUUUGCCAUAUCAUAAUGACACAUACACAAAAUGACUAAGUCCCUAUACAUUCCAUAGACUUAAGGGUUUGCGUUCAUUUACCCAACAUGAUAGCUUGAUAGUGUGAUAGCAUCUCCGGCAACCUCCAACUCGAGCUAGCAUUCAACCCUAUAAGAUAUGGGAAAGGAAGGGGAGUAAGCUACAAAGCUUAGUAAGUUCGUGCGCAAAUAAUAAGCAACAAUAGUCAUACAUUUUUCAUAUAACAAACAUAACAUAACACAACAUAAACGUCAUUAAAUCUUCAUAGGCAUAACUUACUCAAUCACAAUGCUUACCCCCUUCAAUUUAUAAGCAUAAUUUAAUAUAUCUUAACAUUCUCCAAACGAUCCUAACCUCUCCAAUAUAACAUACCAUAAUAAUCAUUAACAAAUCACUUCAAGCCUCAUAGUAACAUGCACAUUAAUUAUGCGUAUUCAUAUUUUCAAGCUCAAAGCUUAACAUCUUUCAAUGAUUUAAACUUUUAACUUCACAUAUUUUCAUAACCAUUUUAAUAGGCAAUUAUGAAAAUCUUUCAUUUUUUACACAUAUCCAAUGAAUCACAAAUCAAGUGAACUAAACAUAUUAUCUCUCAAUUUGAUAUGGCUCAAAAGCCUAACACAUGAUUCUCAACUGAAUUUACCAUGAAUUUACACAUCAUCAACAUAAAUACUUAUUCACAAGUUUAACUUAAGGUCACUUUCAUAGUGAUCAUGAACUCAUAAUAUCAUGAAGUCAAUGCUUAUAAACUUUACGUACAUACUUGUACGAACUCGUAAAACAGUCAUAUCUUUUCACAUCUUUGACAUAAUCUUUGAAUUACCCAUUGAACCACUUGGAAUACUAAAGGAUGCCUAGGAAACCUCAUACACAUAGUAAGAUGCCAAUGCCAUAUCCCAGAUAUGGUCUUACAUGGGAUCACAUAUCGAUGCUGAUAGCUCAGCUAUGGUCUUACACGAUGUCUCAUAUCGAUGCCAUGUCCCAGACUGGGUCUUACAUGAAAUCGCAUAUUGAUGUCAUAUCCCAGAUAUGGUCUUACACGAAAUCACUUAUAACCUUAAUGUCAUGACAGUUUUAUCCUAUCUAUUCCUAAGGUUCAACCGGGACUUCUUCGUUGUCUUGGCAUUAUUGAACUUGCUCAUAAUAUCGAUCAUAUAAAUCAUAUAAUAUUAAAGCAAUUUAAAAAAUAAAUAUAGCAUUGCAUUAUUCACAUACAAACUUACCUCGAUACCAAAAAUGGUGAAAAGGACCUAACCGUCAAAUACUUGUUUUUCCCUUAUUCUAGGCCUGAAUCUUGUUUUUGCCUUUAAAGUUUGACAUAUUUACAUUUUUACCCCUAAACUCGAAAAAUGAAAUUUAUUCAAUUUCUUCGGUUCUCAAGCCUAGCCGAACACCUUUUAUACUUAUAGCAGUCCAAAUUUUUAAUUAAAUUACACUUUUAUGACAUAUUUUAUAACUUUUACAAAUUAGUCCUUUUAGGCAUUUUCACCAAAAAUCACUUAGUAAAAGUUGUUUCUCUUACCAUAAACAUGCAUUUUCUACCAUUAAACACAAAAAUACACACAUAUUCAUCAUGGGUCAAAACCCUAGACUUUAACUAUAUCUCAAAUUAGUGGUAGAAAUAGAUAGAUCUUUUUACGAGGAUUUCAAAAACAUGAAAAUCAUUAAAAUGAGGCUAGAACGGACUUACAAUUGAGCUUGGAAGCUUGAAAAACCAUAGUCAUGGUUUCCCUUUGUGAAAUUCGGCAAUGGGGUUGAAGAUGGACAAAAAUUGGCUUUUAAUUUUGUUUUUAAUUCAUUUAAUUACUAAAUGACCAAAAUUCCCCUAACUUAAAAAUAUUCUAUUUCACUUAUUUCAUGUCCAUUUUGGUCCUAAAAAUUAACCAAUGAUCUAAUUACCAUUUAAGGACCUCCAAUUUAAAAUUUCAUAGCAAUUAGACACCUCUAGCUUCUAGAAAUCAAGUUUUGCACUUUUUACGAUUUAGUCCUUUUGACUAAAUUGAGUGUCCAAAGGUCGAAAUUUUCGAACGAAAUUUUCAUGAAAUCAUUCCUUGAAAUCGUAGACCAUAAAAAUAUAAAAAAAUAAAUUUUUCCUCGUCAAAUUUGUGGUCCCGAAACCACUAUUUUGACUAGGCCCAAAAUAUGGCUGUUACAUAAACAUGCCAUUUCAAACAUCCUAUAUCACCUAACCAAUAUGUCAUUCAAAGGCACCACAAUUGUAUCAAACAUUAAGAAUGAUACCAAAGCAAUUUGACCAUAUUUCAAACAGACAACCUAGUUCACUUAACUACCAUACAUUCUUCCAUAUUUGACCAAUUUCAAGCCAUCACAAACAUACCAUAAGAACCUUAUUUACAAGAAUUAAAUGUGACCAAUGUGACAUAACUUAAUACGGCUUUAAAGUGCACCAACCAACAUAAUCUCAAAAGCUUAAGUAUAGCAAAACAUACAUUACAAAGAUCCUAUACAUGCUAUUAUUAACAUUGGCCAGAAUACACAAAAUCUACCAAAAUGGUUGCUAGAUAGUGUGAUAGGUCUCCGAUGAGCUUCCAACCGGUUGAGCUUGUGGUAAUCUAUAAAACAAAGGAAAGUAACUACAUUAGCAACUAGUGCUUAGUAAGCUUGUAUAAACUUGAACAUAACUUACCAUUUCAUUUAUAUAAUUAAUAGAUUAAGAAUAAAUCAUUACCAAUGCCAUAAGCUUAGUAUAAGCCUAUACAACAUCAUCAAACUCACAAGUUAGUACACUUGUUCAUGAUACAAAUGAAUUCAACCAUAAAAUAAGUUGAUUUUCAUAUGUAAAUACAUCAUUUAGCUCAUAAAUAUUUUCAUAAGAACAUGUUGCAUUCCAUUUGCAUACUUACCAUUUCAUUCCCUUUUCUUACUUGUUGAACCAUCUAGAAUUACAUCGGAUACUCAGGAAAGCUCACACAUAAUGUUGCUUUACAUAUAACCGUAACAUUUCGUUUGCAUCAUUGCUCACACGAGUUGUGAAAUGGGCUUGGCCACACGAGCUGGGGUCAGAAUGUUAGCUACAUGAUGCUACUCACACGAAAUGUGGAGAAUUCACAACAAAUGCAGGACGUCAACCAUCGGCAGGACAUUCAAGACCAACACCUGAAACAUGAAAUUCCUAAUGACAUGUCAUUUGUAUCCUAAGAAUUUUUAAGGUUCAACUGGGAUUCGUUAUUCGUGAAUUCAUCAUAGCAUUGAUACAUUUAUAUUCAAAUUCACUUAUAUUAAAACAACAUAGUAAAUAGUUAAUUUAGCUAACACUAAAACAAUCAUAGUCUGUACGAACUUACCUCGAUAACUAGAGUUGUAGUGGUAGAUUCAAACUAAAACAAAACUUUAGCCUUUCCUUGAUUUAAGUUCGAUUGUGGUUUAUCUUGAUCUCGAUAACUAGAGUCGUAGUAGUAGAGUCAAACUAAUCCAAAGCUUUAGCUUUUCCUUGAUUUAAGUCUGAUUGUGGUUUAUCUUAAUCUAAAUAAAUAAUUUCAUUCAAUUAAGUACUUAUUUAUUCCAUUUAAUCUAUAGUUCAUAUUUAUGCGAAAUUAGAAAAUUACUCCUAAUACUUUGACUCUUCACAAUUUAGUCCUUAAGCUCAUAACAUAAAAUCUGACCAUUUUAACCUAAAUCCAUAUUAAAGAAAGUUACAAGGGACCUUGAAACAAUCCAUAAUUACCAAUUCACAACAAAACCCAUGAAUUUAUACUUUUAACAAUUUAAUCCCUAUUUCCAAAUUCAUCAAAAAUCACUUAACAAAACAUUUUUAUUUUACAACAAGGAUUAAUAAUCAAUAAACUAUCAUCAAAACACACUCAAAAACAUCCAUGGCAAGUCCCUCAACCUUUAACAAUUUUGCAAAUUAACCCCUAGGCUAGCUAGAUUAAGCUAAAACAAAUUCAAAAACAUAAAAAUCAUUAAAAACGAGGCUUGAAUACAUACCAUGCAAGGGAGAAUAAAAAAUGGAUGAAUCGAUUUGAAGAAAAAAAUAUGAGAAAGAUGAUGAUUUCAGCCUUUUUCAUUUUGAUUUUAUUUACCAAUUUAUCAAUUUACCCUUAUUACUAAUAAAAAAUUUCAAUAAAACCUUGUCCAUGCACAUCCACUAACUCCUUAAAUGGUAUAUUUACCAUUCAAGUCCAUUAGUUUAAAGUUUCAUAGCUAUUUGAUCCCUUUAACUAAUAGAACUCAACUUUUACACCUUUUACGAUUUAGUCAUUUUCACCUAAAUAACUUUUUAAACUUUAAAAUUUCUUAACGAAAUUUUAAUAUGACCUUAAUAUAAUCCGAUAAACAUUGAAUAAAUAAUAAAAUAAUAAUUCACUCAUCGAAAUUGUGGUCCUAAAACCACUAUUUUUGACACUACUAAAAAUGGGCUAUUACAACUCUCCCCCUAAAGGAGUUUUUGUCUCCGAAAAUCUUACCAGAAAAUAGGUUCAGGUAUUACACUUUCAUAGCUUCUUUUGGUUCCUAGGUUGCUUCUUCAACUUCUUAGUUGUCAGAGAGCUUUAACCAAAGGUAUACGUUUAUUUCUUAACUCUUUAACUUCCUGAGCUAAGAUUCUGAUCAAUUAUUCACUGUAUGACAUAUCCGGCUGAAUGUCAACAUCUAUAGGUGAAAUCACAUGUGAAGGGUCUAAUUGAUACCCUCGUAACGUUGAUGUAACACCCCUUACCCAUGUCCGACGCCGAAUUAGGGUACAAGGCAUUACCGGGCUUAAACUUACACAUUCAUGCAAAAACCAGGCCAUAAAAUCUCCUUUAAUUUAAAACCUUUCAAACAUGUGCAAAUUGUAUCUUAUUUGGGUCUACGACACCCAAAACACUUAUCGAAAUUGAUUCGGGACUAAACCAAGAACUUUGAAAAGUUUUAGGAAAAUUUAGAAAAUUUUCCCAUGAAACAGGGUCACAUGCCCGUGUGGACAUAUGGAUACGCCUAUGUGCCUUUGGCACGCCUGUGUCCUCAGGUCGUGUAACUCUCUAUUUAUGACAUCAGCAUGCAUAUCGAACCACAUGGCUGGGCCACACACCCGUGUCUCCAGGCUAUGUCCUUCACACGGUUGAGACACACAGCUGUGUCUCAGCCCGUGUGGGUAAGACUUAGGCUAUUUUCCAAGCCUCCAUGUUACCCAUAAUCUCUUACAACCUUAUGCACAUCAAAAUCGCAAAUCAUGGCAUCAUUUUAGUGAUUAAAUACUCUUUAUUAAGACAUAUCCUUAACAUUAACAUGUCCUUAUACAAGUAAUGCAUCUACUCAUGCAAUACCAAGUCUAGAUUCCUUAUUUCACAUUCAUAAGACUUGUCAUUUUGAUGACCACUUUUACCAUUAUACUAUGGUUACUAACUUAUCCAUCAAGCACUCAUGUUCAAUCAAUUGUUCAUAGAGCAUACAUCCAACACACAUGUCAUAUUACUAACCAUGCAUGGCAAACAAACAUAAUCACAUUACAAAUAUUAGACAUGACAUGAAUAGCUAGGCUUACAAGCCAUAAUCAAUAUGAGCCACAUCUCAUGGCCAUAUACAUAUAACUCAAUAUAAGCCAACACAUUUGGCCAAAGAAAUAUAAUACAUGUCAAUCAACUAGAUCCCUAUACAUACCACUCACUUGAAAUUUCUAAUAUAUGCUUCAUUAUUCCAAAGGUAGCGACUUGAUAGUGUGAUACUGUCUCCGACGAUCUCCAACCCCGAGCUAACCUAAAAACACUAAAGGAAAGGAAAGGAAGGGAGACAGCUUUAUAGCUUAGUAAGACCGUAUGAAAAUAAUGAGCAAUUUAUCAACUUGCUUCUCAUGGCAAUACAACCCUAUUUGCAUUUUUACUCAUGUUCCAGUCAAGCUGUUUUCUCGAGUCAUAGUCACUAAAUUAUUUAUAUCUGGAUCUACAGAACUACAAAUUAAGUUCUGAUAAUUUUCUCUAAAACUAGACUCACAUAUAUUCUUACCAUAAAAUUUUCAAAAUUUUUGGCUUAGCCAAUUAGUACAGUUUAUUCUUAAAGUUACCCUUUUUCACUGUCUGAUAGUUCUGAUCCCUUUUCACUAAAAAAAUAAUUAUCUCAUAAUACGAGACUCAGAUGAUGUUUUUGUUUAUUUAUCUUGAAAAUAGAAUCAUUAGGAAUUCUAAUAAUAUAAAUUAUAACUCAUAAAUAUUUUUGUAAAAUUUUCAAUGAUUUUCUCAAAUCAAAACAAGGGAUUUUGAAGUGAUUCUGACUCUAUCUCACAACAAUUUAAAUAUUUCAUAAUAUGAAACUCUUUUGCUUACACAGUUUCUAUUAUGUGAGACUAGACUCAUUAGGCUUUAAUUUCAUAUUUUAUUCAGCCUAUAAAUAAAUUUUCACAAUUUUUGGUGGAUUUUCAAAGUCAGACUAUGGUUGCUGUCCAAAACUAUUUUAGUGUAAAUUAACGAUACUAAGUUUAUCACACAAUAUUAAUUCAUUUUCACCACAUUGGUAAGGUUACAUAUUCAUACAUCAUAAGUAUAGACCUAUAAUCACAAGGUCAUCACAAAAUCAUUCUCAUAAGCAUGAAUUACCUAUUUACAUCUUCACUAAAUGUACGUCAUAAACUGAAAUCAUUUCUCAUUAACUUGGCAUACAUACCUGUGUUACUCAACAUGCUCAUAUUCAUUCCUUACUAAUCAUAUAACAGGAAUUGAAUUCAUAUCUCAUCAAUUUCAUGUAAAUACCUGUACCACUCACAAUAUGGUCAUAACUUUUCUCAUUUAGCUUAAACCGUAACUCUCACCGUUGAACUAUUUGAAAAGCUAUCAGAUAUUCACUAAGCCUCAAACAUAGGGUAUAAUGCCGAUGCCAUGUACCAGACAUGGUCUUACAUUGACUAUCAAAUUAAAGGCUGACAUCAUGUACCAGACAUGGUCUUACACUAGUUCUCACAUAUCCGUGUAAAUGCCAUGUCCAGGCAUGGUCUUACACUGACACAUCUCGUAGCUGAUGCAUGUCCCAGACAUGUCUUACACUGGAUUACAUCUCGAGGCCGAUGCAUGUCCCACACAUGUCUUAUUCAGGAACACAAAUAACCCGAAUGUCAUGGCAUGAAUAUUCAAAUUGUUUCUUAAGGUUGAAACGGGAAUUCUACUAUUUCAAUAUUCAUCAAACAUAAUCAUUUCCACAACCAAGCAAUUCAGUCAACACAUAAAUGUUAUUUACAUUUGACAUCACUUUCUCAUAUACAAUAUCAUCAACCUAAACUUUAAUACAAUCAUAGAAAGAUGAAUUUUCAAGUAUAAUAACAAUGGCAUAAAUAUCAUGCUCAUUUAAUCACACGGACUUACCUCAAAUGCAAUUUCGGCUAAUUAUUCUCCUUUUUGUCUUUAACCACACACUUUCUCGAUUUAAGCCCAAAUCUCGAUUUUCUUGAUCUAACAUGAUGGAAUUCACUCAUUUAAUCACUAAAUAAAUUUGGACAAUCAAAAUUCACAUUUUGGGCAAAAUGAUUAUUUUGCCCCUAGACUUUCACAAAAUGACCAUUUUACCCUUAGGCCCAAAAAUCAAUUUUUAUCGAAUUUCCUUAUUAGCCAAGCCUAACCGACCAAUUAUUACUCUUAUGAAAACCCAAAAUUUCCACUAUUUCACACAAUUACAACCUAUUUUAUAACUUUUACAAAAUGGCCUUUUUAAGUGUUUUCCAUGAAAAUCCUUUCACAAAAGUUGUUUAUUACACAACCAAGACUUGUUUUCUUCCAUAAAAAUUCAGAAAAAACAUAAAUCCUUUCAUGGAAAAUACCUAUACUAUCAACCAUUUCACAAAAUAGUCCCCCCAUUAGCUAGUUCAUGCUACAAGGGUUCCAAAAGUACAAAAUUAUCAAAAAAUAGGCAUCUAAAUCACUUACUUGUAAGGGAUAUAAGUUGCUUAAAUUUUUGAGCUUUCAAAACCCCCUUUUUUCUGGUAUUUUUAGUGGGGAAGAAGAAAGAUUAAAAGAUGACAACAAUUUUUUUCUUUUUGUUUUAUUUUAUUACCAAAAAGUCACUUAAUGCACAUCAACUUUGGCUUUUCAACCUAUUUUUGUCUCCUUGAUCAGCCACUAACAUAUUUAUGGUAUAUUUACUCAAUAAAGACCCUAAUUCAAUGUUUUAUAGCUAUUUGACACCUUUAGCUAGCAAAACAAAACUUUUGCCCUUUACGCGAUUUAGUCCUUUUUCGCAAUUAAGCAUGAAAUCGCUAAAAUUAUUUCACCUAACUUUUCAUGCACUCAUAUGAUCAUGCUAUAACAUAUAAAAUAUCAUUAAAAAUAGUUUCUUCGGCCCCUGAAUAGUGGUUCUGAAACCACUGUUUCGACUAGGCCCAAAAUCAACCUGUUACAAUUGAUACAUGAAAUAGGUUAUGUAUUUUCUCCAAAACUGAUGGUAAAGCCAAAUGAUAAGCCACUAGUCCAAUUAUUUUGACAAUCUCAUACAAACCGAUGAAUCGUGGUCUAUGUUUCCCUUUUCAGCCAAAACAACGAAAUUUUCUCCAAUGUGAUACUUUUAAUAAUACUUUGUCGCUGACUUGAAAUUCUAUAUCUUUUUUUUUCAAAUCCGCAUAAGAUUUUUGACGAUCAGAAGCAACUUUUAAACUAUCACAUAUUACUUUGACCUUUUCUUUAGUUCUCAAAUCAAAUCAACACCGAAUGGCUUUUUCUCACUCAACUUAGUCUAGUAUAAUGAAGUUUGACAUUUUCGACUAUACAAAGCUUCGUACGACGCUAUUUUAAUGCUCCCUUGAUAACUAUUUUUAUAAGCAAACUCAACUAACAAAGGAAAUUUCUCCCAGCUACCUUCGAACUCUAAAAUACAACAUCGGAGCAUAUCAUAGAGUACCUAAAUUACUCGUUCAGACUGACCAUUGGUCUGUGGAUGAAACACUAUAAUGAAAUGUAGUUGAGUGCCCAGAGCUUCGUGUAACUUACUCUAAAGUCGAGAAGUAAACCGUGGAUCCCUAUUAGAGAUAAUAGACACCAGCAUACCAUGCAGUCUAACAAUCUCAGAAACGUAUAAUUCUGCCAACUUUUCAAGUGAAGAAUCCGUAUGUACUCGAAUAGAAUGUGCAAAAUUAUUCAAAUGAUCCACAAUAACCCAAAUAACAUCUUUCUUCCGCAUAGAAAAAGGCAAUCCCAAUACAAAAUCCGUUGUAACUCGUUCCCAUUUAUACUUUAGAAUCAUUACAUGUUGUUAUAGUCUAGAAGGUGCCUGAUGCUUAGCUUUGACUUGCUGACAGAUCAAACAUUUUUUUACGACCAUGUGUUUCGAUAAAUUACUGCUGUGAGUUUCUUGUAAAAUCUUCUGAAUAAUACCAGAAUUACUCGAAACACAUAUUAUGUUUUGAAAAUAUAGACUACUGUCAAAAGUAACAUGAAAUUCUGAAUCAGGUGUUGAAUCAAUCUGUUUCUGCUUGGCAAUCAAUGCAGAAUCACUUUUCUGAGUUUUGCAUAUCUGUUGCAGAAACAUCGGUCUAGCUUUUAAUUUUGCUACAAUGGAACCAUCAUCAAUCAAUGUCAAUUGAGUAUUCAAAGCUCAUAAAACAAAUAAAGAUUUUCUACUUAAAGCAUCAACAACAACAUUAGCUUUUUCGGAUGGUAAUCAAUGAUCAAAUCAUAAUCUUUUAGCUGUUCCAACCAUCUAUAUUGUAUCAAAUUUAGUUCUUUCUGUGUCAUUAAAUAUUUCAAGCUUUUAUGAUCCGUGAAGAUAUGACUUUUUUCUUUGUACAAAUGGUGUCGCCAGAUCUUUAAAGCAAAUAGAAUAGCUGCAAGCUCUAAAUUAUCAAUCUUAUGCAAACUUGAACUAGUGACUCGUUACUGAUAUUUUUAGCUCGAAUUUGAUCAACCCAAGUUGGUUUAACCUGUAACUGAGAUAGUAGGCUCCCAUCCUUGAACAAACUUAGACGAGAAAACACCACUCUCAAAUUAGUCAUCGCUCUAUGGCUAAGAAAAUCGACCACUAUAUUAGCCUUACCUGGAUGGUACUCUAUCGUGUAAUCAAAAUCCUUAAGCAACUCAACCCAUCUACGCUACCUAAGAUUUAACUCAUUCUGAGUUAACUAAUAUUUGAGGCUGUUGUGGUCAGUGUAUAUAAUACACCUCUCCCCAUAUAGGUAGCGUCUCCAAAUAUUCAAAGUAGAAACGACAAUCAACUACAGCCAAUUCUAGAUCAUGUGUAAGAUAGCUAACUUCGUGCGACUUCAACUGUCAAGAUGCAUAUGCUACAAUCUUACAAUCCUGCAUCAGGACACAUGCCAGACCAACGUACAAUGCAUCCUUUUACACGACAAACUCCCUACACGACUCAGGCUGAACCAAUACAGGGGCUUGUGUCAAAAUAGACUUAAGCUUUUUGAAGCUUGACUGUUACUUGCCAUACCAAACAAAAAGGGUAUUUUUACACAAUAUUUUAGUCAGGGGGACACAAUCAGUUGAAAUCCCUUGACAAACCUCUAAUAGUAACCUGGUAAUCCUAGGAAACUCUAAAGCUCAGGCGCAUUCUUCGGUUGUUUCCACUCGACUACAACCUUAAUCUUCUUAGGGUUGAUUCAGAUACCUUCAGUAGUCACAAUUGUUAGAGUAUACCUAAAGACCAAUUAUGAGAUGAUUGUAAUCACAUAUUCAUUCUACCCUGUUUAUUAAUAAAAAGACAUUGCCAUUGUUAUUUCAGUUUCACUUUUUGUAUGUGUAAAAUAAACUGAUUUAUAAUAAUGUCCUGAGAAUAAUAUGAUUAUUUUUAAAAGGUCUUUAUUCAAGUAUUAUUUUUGGCUUGGACAACAAUAAUGCAUUAAGACUAAUAUGUAGUUGAUUGAUGACAAAAGUGUUGUCAUUGAAAUAGGCAUGUCAAAAUCAAUACAUGAGUAUAUGUUAGAGAAUGACGUAUUGGACUGACCUGCUAUGAGUAUGUUUCUUGGGUUAUUAUAUAAUAGUCACAACAUUACUCAUAGUGAUAACUAUGUAUACGAUCCUUAUACUUGAGAUCAAUAUUGUCCCAACAUAGUGAGUCAUAUAUUUUGAUACAGUCAAACGUCUACUAUAACAGGUUGUACUAUAAAGACUGAUGUUGGGUGUGCCACAAUCUAUAUAGUGGGAUAUGAUUCAUCAAUAUAUGAUUUGUUCUUCCUACAUAAUGGGAGCAUUAUCUUAGGCCACUUGAUGGAGUGAGACUAGAAAUGCAUGGUCAUGCUCAAAUAAGUUAAUAUGAGAUAUUACACUUAUUUGCUUAUUGUAGUCUACUUCGGGUAUCAAGAAACAUGAGAUUUGACUCUGCAAGUGUGACUAUUCCAUAACUUGUGUCCAAUCAAGAUAUAAAGGACAAAAGGAUAUAAUAUAUGAAAAAUUUAUCACAAAAAGGUUAUGUCGGACCACGAAUUCUUGUAACUUGGGUAGUGAUGAUGCAUUGCUAGAUGCCACUCAUUACUUGUAACGUUAGAAGUGUUCUAGUAUUACUACCAAUGUUACAGGAGCCUACAAGGUUGCUCCUUAUGGUUGAAAUGAACAAAAUCAAAACAUAAUUGGUAUAAAUUUAACUGUCACGAGAAUUAUAUUAAUUAUUGAAUUAAUUUAAUUUGACAGUUAAAUAAUAAACACAAUAAAUGUACAAUUUUGUUGUAUAAGAAUAGAAAACAUAGUUAAAAUAAAUGUAUGAAUUUGAUUCAUAUAAAAUAUUAAUUAUGUAUUAUUUACCGAAAUUAUUAAAUAAAGUGUUAUAUUAAUUUCGGUCAAAAAUAAAAUAUAUGGAAAUUAAUAUCUUUUUGGAAAGAAUAUUAUAUUAUGAUAUUUUCAUAUAUCUAUUUUCUAGCACCAAAAAGAGGUGAUUUUGGUUUUAAUAUGAAUAUUAAAUAAAAGGGAAUUAUAAAACCCUAAGGUGAAAGUGUGUUACCAAUAUAUUAACCACGAAAAACAAAAGAAAUAGAGGUCUAACAGCUGCAUCUUUUUCAGAAAACUCUCUAAGAUGUUUAGAGAGAGUUUUUGUUUAUUCAUUCGUAACUGGGUGGACUAUGCAUAGACCGGGAUGACUUUUUUACUGCUUUGGAUCGGCAGCGUGUGAAUGGGAUUAAAAUAGUAGUUGUUCCUUCAUAUUUUUUUAUUUUGAAAGGUAUAUUUUCAAACCUUUCUUUCCUGAUUCGUUCCUCAUGCAUGGAUUCCUAGUUUGGAUUGCCGAAAUAUUUUUUCCACUGUGCCAUGGGGCACUCUGGUGACCCAACAACAUGCCCCAGAAUGGAAACCUCCUACAACCAAGACUCAAUCAUGCUAAACUUAGCAUACAAUAGUUUUUCACGGAAUAUUUGUAGAAUAAGACGAAGAUGGUCGUUGUGCUCAGUCUCAAUCAUUGAAUAAAUUUGUAUGUCAUCAAUGAAAACUACUACAAACUGAUCCAAAUACCACUAAAAUACUCAAUUCAUUAAAUCCAUAAAUACAGUCGAGGUAUUCAUCAAACUGAACGACAUAACCAAGAACUCGUAAUGUCCAUAAUGAGUCUUGAAGGUAGUUUUAUACACAUCGAUCUCAUUAACCUUGAGUUGAUGGUAACCAGAAUGAAGGUCAAUUUUAGAAAACAAAGAUGCUCUUCGAAACUUGUAACCCUCUAACCCAUAUCCGUUGCCGAAAUAGGGUUCUUGAGCAUUACAAUAAAAAUGUAACUUCAAAUCAUUCAUUUCUAAUAUUUCAUAAUCAUUGAAAAUUCCAAUCAAAAAAAUGCAUAACGUCCUUUUUUUUAGCCCCCGAGGCCUUAGAAACACUUUAGAAAUGAUUUAGGACUAAAUCGAAAACAUUUAGAACUUCAUGGAAAAAGAUAAAAAAAUUCAUACUACAGGGGUUACAUGGCCAUGUGGCCAGGCCGUGUGACUCACACGACUGAGACACAGGGCCGUGUCCCAACCGGUGUUUGUUCCCAUGUAAUUCUCUGACUUAGUUCACACGACCAAACCACACGCCCAUGUGCCAGGCUGUGUAACUCUUGAAAUGCAACCUUUUAAAAACUAUAGGGGACACACAGUCGUGUUGCAUGGCCGUGUGUCACACACGGCUGAGACACACGCCCAUGUCUUAGGCUAUGUGUGUAAUAGCCCGUUUUUAGUCAAAUUGAAACAGUGGUUUUGGGACCAUGAAUCUGAAGUCAAAAGAAUUAUUUUAUUAUUAUUUUAAUUUUUAUAUCAUGAUAAUACGAUUGUGUGAAAAUUUUUAUAUCAUGAUAAUACGAUUGUGUGAAAAUUUCGUUAAGAAAUUUUAUCGUUUGAGUGUUUAAUUUGAUAAAAAGGUCUAAAUCGCGUAAAAUGUAAAACUUGUGUUCUAUUAGUUAAAGGUGUCUAAUAGCUUUGGAAUAUUAAAGUAGAGGUCCUUAUGUUGUAAUUAGACCAUUGUUAAAUUGAGUGGACAAAUAUGGACAUUAUUUAGAUGAUUUUAAUGUAUUAUCAUUAAGCUUAAAAUUGUAAAUUGGUUCUGAAAGAUUAAUUAAAUAAAAUAAAUUUGGUGCUAUCAUAUUCUUCAUUGCCGAAUUUUAAAGAGAAGAGAAGCUAUUUUUUUAGGGUUUCAUUCAGCUAUGCUAUCUUGCCCAAUGAGAUCAAGAAAGGUGAAAUACGGAUUUAGAUUGGGGAAAGAAUAAGGUUUUGAAUUAAUCGACUUAACUCGCCAUUUUUACAUAUGAGGUAAGUUCUUAUGUAAUAAGCAUUGUUAUAAUUGUAUCAAAUGCUUUGAUAUUUCAUAAAUUGUAAAUAUGACCUUGUGGAUAUGUUCGACGAUAAUUUGGCAAUGAGAAAUCCCUAUUGAACUUUAAGAAUAGAUUAGGAUAGGAAUGACAUGUCAUUAGGGGUUUUGGGUGCUGGUCCGUACGUUCCACUGGUGGCUGAGUUAUCUAGCAUGUGUUGUGGAUUCUCGUCAGCUUGUGUGAGUAGCACUGUGUAGCUAAGUCAUGACCGUCAGCUUGUGUGAGCUGACCCGUUGAUAGCUCAAAAGUGAGCAUUAUUGAGAUAUGACAUUGAGAUAGCUUCGACUAUAUAUAUAUUGGCACUUAGGGUGAGAGAUUCCCGAGUAUACUGUAUUAUUCAAAAUGGUUCAAUAGGUAUGUCGAAGAUAUGAGAUGGUGAGAAUAGAUACGUACCAGUAUAGGUAUGUGCAGAAACUGCAUAUGCAUUGAUUAUAUGAAAGAAUUGGGCUUAUGGUUAUAUAGAUGAUUGAAUACAUAUUAACAUUGUGGUUAAUUAUUUUGUGGUAUGUUGUAUACAUAUUUUGAAUGGUAAAUUAAAUGGUGAAUUUUGCUUAUUAUUUUCAUAUGAGUUUGCUUAUUAUUUUCAUAUGAGUUUACUAAGCUUUAUAGCUUACAUCAUUUAUUUUUCUGUGUUUUAUAGUGAAAUGAAGCUAGCUCAGAUUUGGGGAUCGUUAGAGAUUUCAUCAUAUUAUCCUGCUAUCACAUUGGUAUUUUUGUGCUUAAGUAUUUUGAGUAUAUUGCAUGUAUAGGAGUUGUUCUUUUUAGUAUAUGUGUUGUGAAUAAAUUUAGUCAUUUGAAAUGGCUUGUAAAUAUUGAGUGUUUGGUUAUGUAUAUAUAGCUAUGAAAGUUGGCUUAACUUGGUUGGUUUGGUUGUGUAUAUAUUUAUGCAUAUGGCUCUUAUUAUGUGCUUGAUUAUGGAUAUGUGAUGCUAGUUGAUAUUUGGUAAUUAGGGGUACUAAACGGUUGUGAAUUGAAUUUGGUAUGUUUAUGAGAUUAGGCUAAAUGAUGCAAGGUUGAAAGUGAUUGUACUGUUGAUUUGAGACUAUGAGUUUUUGGUAUGAAUUGAGUGGCGCAUUUUGGUAUUGAUAUGAUUGGUAUUGGUUGGUACUGAAAUGGUAGGAAUUAUGCUUGAAUGAGGUUAGUUGAAUGCCUAAUUAUACCAUGUUUUUGUGCCAAUUGGGUUGUUUUAAGUAUGAGCAAAUUUUGGGUGGCAAAUUGGCUUCGUAAAUAGCCUAUUUUUGUCCACACAGGCAAAGACACAGGCGUGUGUCUCAGCCGUGUGUAAUAGACGGUGAUAUUACACAGCCGUGCAUCCCCUGGUGUUGAUUUAAAAAUCAAGUCAGUAUUGUAACGCCCCAAAUUUUUGGGAAUUCUGAAAAAAAAAGUUUGUAAAAUUAAAAAUUCUAUGUUCUGCUUGUUAAGUGUAGGUUUAAUUGUGAUAGUGGGCCUCUAGAAGGCCCAAGCUUAGGAUAACCCGAUAGUUUUAAUUAAUUUUAAUUCCAUUAGAGAAAGGGGCUCUGGUAAAUUGGGCUUUGAGGAAUUAAUUGUGUAAAAUAGAUCUCAAGGAAGCAAGUGGUGAAGUGGCAUGUGACACCACAGGGAAGGCUAUAAUUGGCGUGUGGAAGCUAGGUAGGACCAAGGUUCAAGUCACAAUGACAGCAAAUCAAGGGAUUAAUUUUUAUGAUCAUAAAAGGUAAGUAGUGGAACUGAAGUAAAAGUCUGUCAGGAGGAGUUUGAGUUGCUCAGGAGAUUAAGUAAGGAGGGGAUAAGGGAGAGGAUUUAGGAGCUGAUCAAGGAGGAUGGUGUUGGCCGAAUAGUGGACUCUUGAGGAGCAAGAGUUGGCCAGCCAAGGGUUUCUUUAGGGGGGUAAAUUUCGGCUAGGUCAAAAGCUAGGUAUAAAUUCGGCAUUUGGGAGUGUUGUGCCGUUUUUCUCUUUUCUGACCAUUCUUUUCCUUUCUUUUCUUUUCUUUUUUGUCUCUAUCUAUCUUUCUUCUCCUUUCCUCCAUUGCCAAACCUUCCUACCAUCUUGUUCAUCUCCAUUUUUCCCUUCAACCAUUUCAAAACCUUCAUAGCCUUUGGCCAUAAAAAGCCGAAAUCCCGAAAGCUUGAUUCUUUUUGUGCCAAUUUUUUUUAACCAAAACCACAUCUCUUCUCUUCAUCAUUUGUGGACGAUUCACCAGCCCUCUAAAACCUCAAGUUUUGACGAUAAGACCAUAGCAAAACCCUCUCGUUUUACCUUUCUAAACACAAGUUGCAAAAAGCCGAAAACCCCACAUUAAAAGGGACUUGGCCGAAUACUGAAGUCACUGAAAGAUCGACUUUUGUUAUCAUCUGAGGGCUUAGAUCUACAUCGGGAUCAAGUGGGAAACUCAUUGGAAUCAGUCACUAAGGAAUCGGUGGUAAGUCUUCUCCAAAACUUAGUCUUCUUGCAUAUUUUAGGAAAAGCCGAAAUCCCUAAAAGUUAGGGAGGUUGUCGAUUUGGACUUGUAACCCUGAGGGGUCGUAAUAACUAUUUUGUUUUGGUAAUAACGUGAUUUAGAGGUGGUUGAUCAAGGGCUUGGACAGGUGGAACGAUCGGAUCUUUGGAGUUAACCAUCUUUCGGCAGUAAGGUAAGAGCAAUAAGGGUUUUAGGCAUGUUUGGCCGAAUGUGGUAGGGGACUAUAUACUCAAUCUUAUUUCGAUAUUUGGAGUAAUAUUAAGUGAUUCAAUUGUAGGCAGUUCGUGUGUAGAUCUCGUCGAGGAAAUCCCAAAACAGGUGUGUAACUGACACCCUCUCAUAGGCUAGAUCGGCAAAAGCCGAAAAGCCGAAAUGCCGAAAAGUCGGUAUUUUGGGCACUUGCGAGUGUGCGAAUGCUCGUAAGAUGUAUGGGUAAUUAUUACUGGUAAUCGAAAGUGAUAAAACUGCAGUACAUGCGAUUUCGUGCGUUUUGAUAUUUUGGGCUUAAUGGGCCAAAACUGGGUUAAUGGGCCAACGGGCCCAAUUCGGUAAGAAAACUUGGUAAGUGUUUCUGGAUAAACGUAAUGGCUACGAUAUGCAUGGAAACCUUAGAAAUAGUUAGAUGCACUAUUAUACCCCUAUGUAUGCAAAAUUACCAUAAUACCCUUAUGUAUGCAAAAUUACCAUAAUACCCCUAUGUAUGCAAAAUGACCUUUAUACCCAUAGGGUUAAUUUUGUCUGAAAAGCAUGAUGAAUUAAAUCUGUAUGAUGUGUGCCAUGAAUGUAUAUCUGUUGCAUGGGGACAUGGGCUAUAUUAUGGAGGAAGCGUCCUGGUGGCUAUGCCACAAAUUAUCUGUUCUGGUGGCCCUGCCACAAAUUAUCUGUUCUGGUGGCACUGCCACAAAAAUAUCUGUAUCUGGUGACUCUGUCACAUUUUCUGUAUCUGGCAGCCAUGCUGCAUAUUUCUGUGGCGUGUAGCGGUUGGGUGGGUCGAGUAGUCUCCCCACAUGGUGAAAGGAUGGUAUGGAGGUGCACACGGUUGGAUAUGGUUGGGUUUCUGCAUAAGCAUGAUAUAUCUGUUCUGAUCUAUUCUGGGCCUAUGGGCUUUAUUCUGAAAUCUGUUCUGGGCUGUGGCCAACUUGUUUUAAUUCUGUGGUUUGAGCUGAUAUGGGCUACGGUUGGGUUAAUUUUACACACUGAAUUUCCCUAAACUCAUCCCCUAUUUUUAUCCAUGCAGGUAAUCCCCAACCAUAGUGGGCUUGGUGCUGCAAGGGAUUCGGAGUGGCCACUCGUUCUGCAAUACGGAUUUCUUCUAGUGAUUUGGACUUCAGUUUUCUUUACUUUGGUGAUUUGGGUUUUGUUAUGUAAUAAGGCCGCUUAUGAUUAUUUUUAUUUGGGUUUUGAUCUAUAACUUAUUAUGAUGAUCUUAAAUUAUAUUAACUAUCAAAUGGGCUAGAUCUAGGGUUCGUUUUCAAAAACAUUAAGUGAUUUCAAAAUAACACGAUUACAAGUAAGACUUCCGCUAAGCAAACGUUUUCAAACUUAAUCACUUUAUUAAGAUGGACUUAACCAAAUGGUUUUCUCACAAUUAUACGAGAUGUUAGAGUGUGGCAAUGGCGGUGUGCAUGUCUAGGAUUGGAUCCGAAGGGAGCUUGGUACUUAAGCAGUCUGACAGACUCACCUCCUCUUCUUCUGGUUUCCUACCUGGUGCACAGCUCUCAUUCACUUUAACCUAUAUUAAAAGUAUCUUUUACAUCACCAACUAAGUUUUUCCAAACUAAGUAAAUACGGAAUGUUUUGUACGCAUCAAUGUGGCGCACCGGUUCUGGUCAUAACGUCUAGGCCGGGUUUGGGGUGUUACAAGUAUGCUUCACACGGCCCAGCACACGAGCGUGUGACUUGGCCGUGUUGCCUGAGCCAGUAUACCUUACAGGUUUGGCACGACCUAGCACACGACUUGGUACACGGGCAUGUGAGGCCAUUUUGAAAGGGUACAUGGGCUGGGACAUGGCCAUGUGCUUCCACUUCAAUUGUCCACAUGGCCUGUGACACGAUAGUGUCUUUGGCUGUGUGAGACAUACGGCCGGGCCACAUGGGCAUGUGUCCUUUGUAUUUUGGAAAAUUUUCUAAGUGUUUCAAAAAUUUCUUGAGCUAUCAGUUUAGUCCUGAACCAUUCCUAAAGAUGUUUAAGGCCCUCUAGGCUCGUAUUAGGGACAAUGUGAUUGAGUUUGAAUGAUGGUUGCAUGAUAUUUGAAAAUGUAUGUGAAUUGAAUGUUUAAUUGUUUUAUAUGUUUGGUAGUGAUAUGUAACACCCCUCACCCGUAUUCAACACCGGAAUAGGGUUAUGGAGUAUUACUGAACUUAUAACAAAUUUUAAAAUAUACAUUUCCCAUACAAUUAAUCAAAUCAUAUACAUUUCAUUCACAACCAAUCAUUUUGUUCCUAAUACGAGCCUAUGAGGCCCUAAACAUGCAUUGGUAGUGGUUCGGGACUAAACCGAUAACUUUGGAAACUUUUUGAACACUUAGAAAUUUUUUCUCAAAAAUAGGAGAUACAUGCUCAUGUGGCCCGGUCGUGUCUCUAACACAGCCAAAGACAUGCUCGUGUCGUAGGCCAUGUGGAUAUUCGAAAUCGGAGCACAUGGUCUUGUCCCAUCCAGUGUCCAACCCCGUAUAACUCUCUGACUUGGGUCACACGACCAAUACACACGCCCGUCUGCUCUAAAAAUGUCCACACACACCCUUGUGCCAGGCCGUGCCAAACCUGUAGGGUAUACUGACUUAUGCCACAUGGCCAAGUCAUACUCUCGUGUGUGAGGCCGUGUGGAGCAUAUUGACUUGGUUUCUAUUUCAACAUUAGGGGACACACGGUCGUGUAACAUAACCGUGUGUCACACACGACUGAGACACACGCCCGUGUCUCUGCCCAUGUGGACAAAAAUGGGUUAUUUACCAAGCCAAUUUGCCACCCAAACUUGUGCACACUUACACCAAAUUUAAAGGCACCAAAACAAGGCAUAAACAGACAUUCAGUCAACCUCUUUUAAGCACAUUUCAUACCAUUUUCAACACCAACCAUUACAAAAACAUAUCAAUACCACAAUGUACCAUCCAAUUCAUGCUAAACCUCACUUAUACAAUUCAACUAUGUAAAUAUUUCUAAACAUGCAUCAUUAUGCUCAAGUUCACAAGCAUAUACCCUCUCUAAUUUCAAUCAUUUGACAAUCACAAUAUCUACUAUCAAUAAGCAUCACAAAACAACCUCAAAUUUAUAACAUAAGCCAUAUUCUUACAUUUAUAUACAUAAUCAAACCAACCAAAUUAAGCCAAAUCUCAUGCCUAUAGACAAAUCCAUUGUAAAUAAUUGUAAAGAUUAGAAAUCAACAAAAUAAAAAGUAAGUGGAUCUAACCCAUUGAAUCGUGACUAUAUCCACUAUUCUGAUAUUAAAAUUUGAUAGAGAUGAAAUUGGAACAGUCGAUUUCUUUUUAUUUCAUAUUUAUUUGGACUCCACAAGAAUCUGUAGAUAUUUCCGAUUCAAUCUUCUUGUUCCUAGGAAUAAAUUAAUAUUCUAUUCCUUUCGAGAUAAAGAGAAACAUUUAUUUCAAGUUACAACCUUAGAGCCUUUUUCAACAUCUUAUCUUUCUUUGAUUCUAGAACACAACAAGAUCCAUUUCUAUCUAUAUAUUCUAUCUAGUAUAUAAUAGAUAGAAACCUAAAUCAAAUCAUGUCAUCACAUAUCAAAUAUUUCUAUAUCGAUACAUAUGUGACCUUUGUUCUGCCAAUGUGAUGGAGAGUGAGUGCGAAAAAGAAACUUUCAUUUUGAGUCUCCUAUUAUUUAAUUUAAUAUUAUUAAAUAUUGUAUUAGAUUGAAAAAUAGGAACUUCGAAUCUUUUUCUAUUUACUUUAUGUAACGCCCCUUACCCGUUUUCCACAUCGAAACAGGGUACGAGGUAUUACCAGCUCAUAAUAUAUAUCAUUAAAUGAAACCUAAAUAGAAAUAUGUCAUCCAAAUAGAUAAUGUAUCAUUAUAACAUAUGUCUUGAACAAUAUUAGCCAACUUCAAUGGCUUAUACAAAAUAAUUUUGUUAAAUAAUGUAACUAAUAUUUUAAACCUAGGAAAUUAUGACACGUAACAAAAUAACGAAGCCUACUAUACAUGCCAUAAUUCAAAAGAAACGUUUAGUUCAAAUACCCAAAAGUAUUGAUAGUGUGGUAGAUCUUCAACGAUUCUUAACUCUCGAGCAAUGCCGGACGACACUAUAAGACAAAAGAGAGAAAAGAAAGUAAGCUUAUAUAGCUUAGUAAGUAAGUAUAUAAAUAAUAAUUAAAGAAUCUAAUAUGUUUACACAUUAACUCAAGUGUAUCUACUUUUAAUUUCAAUAUUUACUCCACUUUGAUUGAGCUGUCUCUCCUGCAUCAUGUUCACUAAAUAAAUCAUAACUCGAGUUACAAAACUCAAAAUUCAAAUCCGUAAAAUUUUUCUGAAACUAGACUCAUAUAACUUCUUACUAAUUUUUUUCUAGAAUUUUGCGUCCAGCCAAUUAGUAAAGUUUAUUAGUUAAAGUUUCCCCUAUUAUACAGCUCGACUGAUUUGACAUCUGUUCACUACGAGUUGAAUUUCUUCCAGUACACAAUUCAAAUAGCCAUAAAACAUAUUUCAUUUAAAACUAGACUCAAUAAUGAAUCUAGAAAUAUAAACUAUAUUUAUUAAUUAUUUUUUUACAAUUUUAAUGAUUUAUCAAAGUCAGAACAGGGGAUCACAUAGUCAAUCUGAACAAGUCACACACAAAUAUAAAUAUCUCAAAAUAUAGAGUUCCUUUUCUUUCUAUGUUUCUUUUAUAUGAAAAUAGACUCAUUGAGCUUUAAUUUCAUAUCUCAUUCAACCUCUAAUUAAAUUUAUACUAUUUCUGGUGAUUUUUCAAAUUCACGUCACUGCUACUGUCCAAAGCAUUAUUAUUGCAAAUUCACUCUUUCACACUUUCUUUGUAUUAACCUCACUUAGCAUACAUAUCACAAUUCGUUUUCACCACAUUUCAUACAUCACAAGUAUAAGUCCAUGAUUACAAUGCCACCGUAAAAUUAUCCCAUUGAACAAUUCGGAUCAAUCCUCGAUACUUGAUGGUUUCAGCACACUGCCCCACUAUCAUAUUUCAUAUAAUUCGACUCUCUUGUACACAUGGUGAACACUUAGUACCACCCAUGUGACCUAGCCAAUUUAUCUCGUAGCUUUCUUGUCUACAUGGUGUCCUUCACUUGGAAUCACACAUGCGACUUAGCUACAUUUAUCUUUCCCGUAGCUCUCUUGUCUACAUGGGAUACGUCCCGUAUCAUACAUGUGACAUAGCUACUACAUAGUAUCUCGUAGCUCUCUUGUACACGUGGGGUGCACUCAGCACCAUACAUGUGACCUAGCUACGCUCCAUCAAUAUUAUUCAAUCUUUCUGAAUGUUCAACCGAGAUUUCUCUCUCUAUUACUUAUUUCUAUUCCUCCAAUAGUCGAUUUAUGUUUCAAAAUUAGCUAAAAUACAUAUAAUAGGCUGAAAUAUAAAAAUGUAAAUGAAGUUAAUAUAUUAUUUACAUACAAACUUACCUCGGUGCAAAAUAUAGAAAUUUUGCAAUUUAGUCCAAAACCUUUUCCUUCCCCCGUUCAAGAUCGAUUCCACGCCUUUCUUGAUAUAUAACAACACAUUUAGCUCAUUUAACACUCAUACUAUUUAUUCAAUCCAAAAAUCACAUUAUGGAAAAAUUAUAUUUUUGCCCCCUAACUUUUACAAAAUUAUGAUUUUGCCCCUAUGCUCGAGAAUUUAAUUUCAGCCCUUAUUAUUAUGUUUAGUGACAUGAUGAUCAUUUUUCCCUUCUAUGAAGACAUCAAAUUCUCACUCUAACACAUAGUUAUGAACAAUAGGUAUUUUUACCGAUUAUGCCGUUUUGCUCGUUUUCGCUAAAAAUUGCUUAGAAAAGAUCGUUCUCCUAACUUCAAACAUUCAUAUUCUACCAUUAAACAUCAAUAUACAUGCAUAUCAUUCAUGGGUAAAAUUUUAAACAUAAACCCUAGCUCGAAAUAAUGGUAGAAAUAGGUAGACCGAGGAUUUCAAAAAUGUAAAGAACAUUAAAAACGGGGCUUGAAUGAACUUACUAUUGAGCUUGAAAGCUUGGGAAAAACCCUAGCUAUGGAGAACAUGUAAGUUUCGACCAAGCUUGAAUGAAGAUGAACACAUUUUUGUGUUAUUUUUCCCAUUUUAUUUUAUUUAAUAUACAAAUGACCAAAAUGCCCUUACUACUAAACUUUCUUAAAAUUCCAUCCAUGUCCUAAUUUUUGUCCAUAUAAAGUAUAAUGGUCUAAUUCCAUUUAAGGACCUCUACUUAAAACCCCCAUUUCAAUCAAGUACUUUAUGAACUAGAACACACAUUUUUUUUACCUAUAUCAAUUUAGUCCUAAAUAUCAAAUUAAACACCCAAUCGAUAAAAUUUCACAACGAAAUUUUCACACAAUUAUGAAAUCAUAAUAUAAACACUAAAACUUAAUCAAAAUAAUUUCUUUCAACCUCGGAUUCGUGGUUUCGAAACCACUAUUCCAUUUUGGCCCUAAAUCGGGCUGUUACACUUUAUGUAUAUCAGGAAAAGAUUUGAAGUGGAUUUCUUGACUCAUGAAAUGAAAAAAUAGCCUCUGGAGUUUUUUUGAUUUAUAUUCAUCUGAAGGAAAUAUGAGAAAGAAAACAAUAACAAUAAAUAAAAGAAAUAAAAUGAAGGAAAUAUAUUAGACUAUAGUAAUUUAAUACACAUAGAAAUUAGAAAAAUACAUAAAAAUAUUGAUUUUUAUCAAUUUCACGAACAAGAUCCAAGAAUAAGAUUAGUUGAUGGAGGGGGAGGGGUAGAUCUGGGCAUCAACCAGUAGCGAGAGAAGGGACCGCUUCUUACUUGAAUUGAAGAGUUCGUUCAAAAAAUUCAUCUAUCUGAUUGAUGAGCCAUAAGACAAUUCAUGGUUCAGACGACUAGUAAAAAUAGAAAAGAAUAAACGAAUUGAGUUCAUGGAUUUACCA
rnacentral:lncRNA from 1 species